GCCUAGCCACUCCGGCAGAUGGGUCAACGCGUUACAAAGACACAAGUUGAGAGUUCGAAGCGAGGUGAGGUGCUGCAUGCUCUCGGGAAGGCAAGUCAGGGAAGUCAAAGAAGAUAUGGUGAGGUGCUGGAGUGAGCAGAGUUCUCCUAUUUGUUCAGGAAGCUGCUGGAGAGCAUCACAUAACCGUACUUCCAGACUCUGUAGAGAUUUCAGUUCCACAAGCCAGUCAGGCAGCACACGAAGAUUAUCACACUGUGUUAUCACCAGUCUACAGAGAUUGGUGGGGCAGUGGAUGCUCUCAGGUAAAUGCGUAAGGCCUGUGCACUUGAAUAUUUCUAGGGUAUGAAGCCCAGUGAGAUGCUGCAGCACCUCCCAACCAGAUGAUGAUCCUGUCAACCGACGAAGUUCAAGUCUCUCGAGGUGAGUACCCGUCUCAUCCGCAAAAUAGGAGGAAGAUGAAGACUCGUCACCAUGAGCAUGAGAUGCAUGAUGAUGACGUGGAUGGAAGAAGCAUCCUGAAGAAACCAACUGCAUAUUGUUUCCUUCUAGUGUCAAUCUCUGCAAGGACGGAGGAAAGUACGGCUUCACAACAAGUUUCGGGCAAUCAAUUAUUACUAGAGUGGAAACGUGAUGGAAACAACAUUGCGCUUCCACUCCUUCCUCCCCAGUUGUGGUCGUAAGCAGCUCUCCCAACUUUGGCAGUCUUUUGAGCUUAAGGAUCUUUAUCAGUGGCAGUUCCACAAGCUCCCCAAGAUGCUCCAAGUUUGGUAAGUUGUCCAAUACUAGUUUAGUCAGAUGGGAGAAUUCAGAUGGAUUUCUUUGCAUUACUAUAUGUGUAUCAUCGGCUGGACCACAAGAGUCACUUUGCUUUGCCAUCCAACAUGGCAAUUGUGAACCCCGGUAGCCACGAAUUCUCAGCUUCUCGAUUUUUGAUGGUGGUUCAAGAUUGUCGAGCAAAUGCAAUUCCUUCUCCAUAUUUAAUGAUAACUCUUCUUCCAUGUCAUUUGGCUGAUCCUCCCAUCUUGAAUACCAAUCCAACGACAAUUUCCGUAUGCCAUUCUUUUUCUUCAAACAAACUUUGUCUGUGUCCCUUCCUUGCUCGUACCCUGCAAAUUAAAUUUGCCAAGAGCUGCAACCUUAAUUUUUUUUUUUGCUUAAAUGAGCUACACUAUUCUUUCUACUAUAACUUAUAACUACUUUAAUUUGUUGCUACACACAGCACAUACCCAUCUGAAUGUCUGAUUAUUUAUUUUCUUUGUUUGCUAACUCUCUAUCAUGUAUGAUUCGCACAGACAAUGAUCGAAAUGAUGUGCAUGAAUUGGCAGGUGAUAAUAGACUAAUAGUGAUAGACAUCUGACCUGGGACAACACCCUUUAGACUUUAGACUCUUGAGGUGUUCCUUCGCAAGGAAACUCUUAUGUUAUUCUUGUUUCUAACAUCACCAGAAAAUUAGCAUGAGUGAGAGGAGACACAGGUUAUUAUAUUGCACAUACAUGAAAGUGAGCUAUAUAAGAUAGGAUGAUGUUAUAUAAUAUACCCAAGCGCUGGUAUCAGAGAAGAAUAGAUUAACUGCUUCGUUCUUCUACAGACUAGUUUCCAGCCUCCUGUAAAUAGAGUUCCCCUAAGAAGAGGCAGGGAAAGUAAAUUUAUCCAGCAAAGAAAAUACCAGAUGCCAAGGAAGAAAUUGAUAAGCAUGACAAAAGCAAAAAGAAAACGCAUCUGUUCUAGCUUUCAUGAUAGUAGAUACCUUGGGAUCUGACCAAAUGAUGUGUUCUGUGCAACCUCCAAAUGUUUUUGUCGAGCAUACGGAGGCUUGGGUUGCAGAAACAUUGAAGGAGUGUAGCUCAGACUGCAGGUCUACAGAGAGCUUUCUGUAUUUUUUGAAGGCUUUGUGCAUAUUAUCCUCAGCAACAUAUAUUAUACUCAGCGACAAGAAUUCGAGAAAGGGGCGAUGACUUAGAAGAGUCAGGUCAAUUAAAAAGACAAAACAAGAGGGUGAGAUGUCAAUAAGGCCUUGUUCGUUUGUAUCGGAUUGGUGGGUCGGAACGAUUCCGAGUCGGAUUGCUCCUUUAAUUUAUAUAAACUUUGAUUAACCGGAACGAUUCUAGGUGCAAUCCGAUGUAAACGAACAAGGCAUAAGAAAUUCCUGUUUGUUAAGCCAGAAGAAAGCGCCAAGAAAUUUCCAGCGACACGUCCAUCCCUAUACUGCUUCUGCUUGAGGACGUUUCCACGAACGGGAUGCUGUUCAUUUUAAGGGAUUUUCCCUUUAUUCAAAAAAAAAAGGGCUAGCCGAACUGGGCCGCUGCCAGGCCCACGGCCGAGCAGCCCAGCCCAGCCGGCCAGCAAAAGACGCGUAGGGCACGCACCAGAGAGAGCGAGCGAGCAGGGGAAACGUGGGGGCUGGCGGCCGCGUGCAGCUCUCGCCGAUCUCUACGCCGUCUCAAGCGCAACCGCUGCUCCGUUUUGGCUCUUGAAAUAUGGAGUCUUUCUCCCUGCGCUUGAGCUCGAAAAGAAAUCCCAACUCUCUGUUCCUAUUCUUCCUCUCGGUUCCAGUCACGGUUUGGAUCGAUUCCUUCGAUUCUUGGUGUUCUGGAGUUAAUCCUGCUGGUAGAAGAAGGUGGAGGUGGCCCUGCUUGUGCGCAGCGAGGUUCUCCUGCGCUCCGUUGUCUCACCAGUGCACCUGUGAGGUGCUCUUUAUGUUCUGAUUGCUGUUCACCGUGGCCUGGUGUUUGGGCUCCCUGCUGCGCGGUGUUCAUCUUCUCGGGCUGGUGCCGUGGACGUCUCCCUCGGUUCCGGCAGCGGCUCUAGUAUCUCCGUCAACCUCCCGCCGUGCAGGCCCGGACGUGGGCGGCGGAAUUGGUUUUCUGGGACAGAACCUUGUGUUCGCUGAGCUGGUCUUCCCACGUAGACAAUCUACGUGCUGUGAGUUAUUCGUUGCCUCAUUUUAUUUACUGUUUAAUUUUGUGCAAUCUGCUAGUAUUAAAUACUUGGGUGUGAUUGCACUGUUGUGGGCAGAUUUGUGUGCUCGAUGAUGAUAGCGGUGUAGUGAGACAGCGUGACAGUCUGGGUUUUAGUGUAUUAUUAUUUUCAUCAUUGAUAUUAUUUGUGUCUAAUUAAAUCUCUCUUUGUUGAGGCUGUUUACCUGUGUUAAAUUCUGUUAAUUUAUUUAGUACACAGCUCCUUUCUAUCAGUAUUUAUAUUUGAUUAUUAGGCUUAUUACAUCUGAUCUAAAACCCUUAUUUGGUAAGAUACGACUGUCACGUUAGUCUAGGAUCUCUGAUCACCUUUUAGCGUUGGAGGGCUGUUUAUUACAGCAACCCGCUAUUUUGAGAGCAAUAGUUUAAGAUAAACAAUUAUGUUUAUUUGUUUAAUCUGCCUUCUUCAUCUGCAAGCCAUGUUUAAUUAUGAAAUGGACCUGUGUAGCUAUUUUACAUGUUUACAUGUCUUAGAAUUGCUACUGUUCAUUGCUGCUAUAAUUUCAUAUGGUAUUUAUCUGAGUUAUAUGAUUGUUUUAUUCGGAAUUAGAAUAUUUAAUUUAUUUAAAUAUGAAGGAAGCAUGUCACUUAUUUCUCUAAAUUUACAACAAUCCAGAAAACCAAUCUGUGUAAUGGCCUCCAGUUCUGAUGUCAUUAAGCCUGAAGCGUUCGACGGCGCAAGCUUUAAACGCUGGCAGAUUAAGACUCGCAUGUGGCUCACUGACCUAAAAUUAUUUUGGGUAGUGACGUCGGCUGUUCCCCAGGCUGCAUCAGAUGAUUCUGAUGAUGCAGCGAAAGCCGCCGCACUAGCGGAGAAAGCCAAGUGGGACGAAGCCAAUGAGGCAUGCUUGUCUCGUCUGCUGAACGUCUUGUCGAACCGCUUAUUUGACGUGUACUCUGGUUUUACCUCCGCUAAGGGUCUAUGGACUGAACUUGAGAACGAGUUCUCUGAAGUUGACAAUGGCAAUGAGUCAUUCACAACGGAAAACUACCUUAACUAUAAAAUGGUUGAGGGAAGGUCUGUUAUGGAGCAGCUACAGGAGAUUCAACUCCUUGUUAGGGACUUGAUCCAAUAUGGCUGCGUCGUACCAGACAGUUUUCAGGUGAAUGCAAUACUGGCAAAGCUCCCGCCUUCUUGGCGAGACUUUGUGACUUCACGCCGCCACAUGAAGAAGCAAAUGACUCUCACUGAGUUGUCAGCUGCGAUUAAUGUGGAAGAGCGUGCAAGGUCCAGUAACAAGCCAUCCCAGCAACUCCAGGCUCACGUUGUUGAGAAGGGUGGAGAUAGAAAAUUCCAGAAGAAGAAGAAGAACUCUCCACAGAAGAAUCUGAACCAACCUAAAUCCAAAAAGAUGAAGAAGAAAAAGGAGGACUUUAUCUGCUACGUUUGUGGUGUCUCCGGGCAUACAGCUCGGAGGUGCAAACUUAGGAAGGGAAAAGGUCCUCCACCUCAGCGCAAAGAAGGGAACGUGGUGGUUAACUCCACCCCAGGGUAUGCACUUCAGGCCUUUAUGGCAAGUCCAUCAGAUGACUGGUGGAUGGAUUCCGGUGCUACUGUUCAUAUUUGUGCUGAUCGAUCCAUGUUCUCUUCAUUCCAGGGAUACAACAGCGCACCAGUCUUGAUGGGAAAUGGUGUUCCGGCAGCAGUUCGAGGUACUGGACAGGUCUACCUGAAGUUAACUUCAGGAAAGACACUCGUGCUGAAGGACGUACUCUAUGUGCCCUCGAUGAGCCGGAACCUCAUUUCAGUGUCGCUGCUAUGUCGACAGGGUCUCAAAUUAGUGUUUGAGUCUAAUAAAGUGGUCCUGUCUAAGUUUGGUACUUUUGUUGGAAAGUCAUAUGAGUCAGGCGGUUUGUUCCGUCUUUCUGUUUUGAACAAUCAUUCUUCUUACCAUGUUAAUGUGGUCUGUAAUAACGACUCCAUUAAUAAUAUAUGGCAUUCCCGUUUGUGUCAUGUGAAUUUUGAGUCCAUUAAGAGAUUAAGUGACAUGUCUUUAAUUCCUGAAUAUAAACAUGUUAAAGGUGUAAAAUGUGGUAUUUGUGUGCAAGCCAAGCAGCCUAGAAAACCGUUUCAUACGGUUGAAGGCAGAAGUACCACUCCUUUAGAACUAAUUCACUCAGAUAUCUGUGAGAUGAAUGGUAUAAUCACAAAAGGCGGUAAAAGAUACUUUCUUACCUUGAUAGAUGAUGCUACCAGGUUCUGUUAUAUUUACUUACUCAGAACUAAAGAUGAGGCACUAGAACACUUUAAGAUCUAUAAGACUGAAGUUGAAAACCAGUUAGACAAGAAAAUUAAAAGGCUACGGUCUGAUAGAGGAGGUGAAUACCUUUCCAACCUUUUUGAUGAGUACUGCAAAGAGUGUGGAAUCAUUCAUGAAACCACUGCUCCAUAUUCACCUCAGUCAAAUGGGGUAGCUGAAAGGAAGAACCGAACGGUGUGUGACUUAGCUAAUGCUUUGUUGCAAAGUUCGGGGAUGCCUGACAUCUGGUGGGGCGAGGCAGUACUCACAGUGUGCUAUGUCUUGAACAGGGUGCCGCCUCGCAACCGUGAGGCCACGCCCUAUGAAGGAUUUAAAGGAAGGAAGCCAGAUCUUUCACAUCUUCGGACUUGGGGCUGCCUUGCAAAGGUGAAUGUCCCGUUGCCGAAGAAGAGAAAGUUAGGCCCUAAGACCGUAGACUGUGUCUUCCUGGGUUAUGCACAUAACAGUGCAGCUUAUAGAUUUCUAGUGGUCCAUUCCGAGACAAGCGAAAUCGCUGUAAAUGUAAUAAUGGAGUCUCGGGAUGUGACAUUCUUUGAGAGCAUCUUCCCUAUGCGGGAUAAGGAAGUAGUAGCCCCAGAUGGUCCAUCUCGGACAUAUUCUCUGCCCUCGAGUGUCCAUGACCAGACUCCAGAUUUGGAGUUAAGGAGGAGUAAGAGACAAAGGACUGAAAAGUCUCUGGGUGAUGAUUAUAUUAUUUAUCUAGUGGAUGAAGAACCAUGCUCCCUCACAGAGGCAUAUACAUCUCCAGAUGCAGAGUACUGGAGGGAGGCUGUCCGUAGCGAGAUGGAUUCAAUCAUCUCGAACGGAACUUGGGAGAUAACUGAUCUCCCAGCUGGUUGCAAGCCUGUGGGCUGUAAAUGGAUCUUUAGGAGGAAGAGGAGACCCGAUGGUACUAUUGAAAAGUACAAGGCCCGUCUUGUGGCUAAGGGUUUUACUCAAAAGAAAGAGGAGGAUUAUUUUGAUACUUAUUCUCCGGUGGCUCGAUUGCCCACAAUCUGUGUGCUUUUAGCACUGGCAGCUGCUUAUAAACUUCUUGUCCAUCAAAUGGACGUAAAGACAGCAUUCCUAAAUGGAGAGCUGGAAGAGGAAAUUUAUAUGCAGCAACCAGAAGGAUUUGUGGUUAAAGGUCAAGAGAGCAAAGUGUGUCGCUUGAUUAAAUCCUUAUACGGUCUUAAGCAAGCUCCCAGACAAUGGCAUGAGAAGUUUAAUAAUACUCUGACCACUGCCGGGUUUUGUGUAAACGAAGCCGACAAGUGUGUGUAUUAUCGCUUCUCUGGGGGCAAAGGUGUCAUCAUGUGUUUAUACGUUGAUGACAUAUUGAUAUUUGGGACCGAUUUGGAGGCUAUCAUGGAGACAAAAAUAUUCCUCUCCAAGAACUUUGAUAUGAAGGACUUGGGUGAAGCUGAUGUUAUACUGAACAUCAAGCUGAUAAAGGGUGAGGAUGGGAUUACUUUGUCACAAUCCCAUUAUGUGGAAAAGGUCCUGACUCGCUUUGGACAUAUGGACUGUAAACCAGUCACCACGCCCUAUGAUCCAUCCUACACGCUCAGUAAAUAUGAAGGCGAGCCUGUGAACCAGCUACUAUAUUCGCAGAUCAUCGGAUCUCUCAUGUACCUGAGUAGUGCAACUAGACCAGAUAUCUCAUAUGCAGUAUGCAGACUGGCUCGUUAUUCGGCUAGUCCAGGAGAUAGACACUGGGUAGCGUUGUACAGAGUGCUUCGGUAUUUGAAGGGAGCGAUGAAUCUUGGUAUUAAAUAUACCGGAUUUCCGUCAGUACUUGAAGGAUUCAGUGAUGCAAACUGGAUCUCUGACUCGGAUCAAAUGAAGUCUACAAGUGGCUAUGUGUUCACUUUAGCUGGUGGGGCCGUGUCAUGGAGAUCGUCUAAACAAUCAGUGUCGACACGUUCCACCAAGGAGGCUGAAUUAGUUGCACUUGAUUCAGCAUCAUUGGAGGCUGAAUGGUUGAGAGACCUAUUGUCAGACCUUCCAAUGCUAGCAAAGCCGAUACCGGCUGUCCUAGUAUACUGUGACAACACUUCUGUGUUGCUGAAAGUGAACAGUAGAAAGGACAACAAAAAAUCCUCGAGGCAUAUCAGAAGACGACUUGAUUCAUGUCGGCAUGCUAGAGAGACGGGUGUAAUAACCGUAGAUUACAUCAAGUCUGAAAGGAACCUUGCUGAUCCUUUCACCAAAGGGCUGGCUCAAAAGCCAAUCCAAGCAGCGUGUAUGGGAAUGGAACUCGUACCCUGUUAGCGGUUUCAACUGCGGAUAACUGUCCUGUGUGACCGGAGAUCUCGAGAUCCAGGCUCCAGGAAACGAAGCACUGUGGAACCAAGAGCACAAAAGAUAAAGAGUCUCAUGAGCUGCUGUGCUCUGACUGUAUGGCAGGUUGAGCGAUAUGCUCUUAAUGAAGUCAAUGCUAUAAGCAGGGAAAUUGUCCUACAGAAUUUCCUUAACGAUUUCACCUAUAUGAGCUGACUGUGGGGUCGCAGUCCAGGAGAGAAUGGGGUUUUCUCUCUAGUGAGCUCAUGAAUAGAUAUUAAAGGGCAUGACCGUAACGCCCUGCCCCGUAAGAGAAGCAGAUAAUCUGCCUAGUACUAUGUGCCUUUUGUGCGAAGAUUCUCACACUAGGGUUUGUGGAUCAAGGCGUAGUCCUCCGCUUACUCGUGCAGGGUUGGAGUACACUGGGAUAGGCUUUGGUUCAAACCUAACAAGUACCUCUGCCGAAAAGUAGUAUAUAAACAGUACGGGAGCUCAAUGACAUUGAUCAGAAAAAUAAGAGUGAAAAUGGUGGGGAUUGCUGUUCAUUUUAAGGGAUUUUCCCUUUAUUCAAAAAAAAGGGCUAGUCGAACUGGGCCGCUGCCAGGCCCACGGUCGAGCAGCCCAGCCCAGCCGGCCAGCAAAAGACGCGUAGGGCACGCACCAGAGAGAGCGAGCAAGCAGGGGAAACGUGGGGGCUGGCGGCCGCGUGCAGCUCUCGCCGAUCUCUACGCCGUCUCAAGCGCAACCGCUGCUCCGUUUUGGCUCUUGAAAUAUGGAGUCUUUCUCCCUGCGCUUGAGCUCGAAAAGAAAUCCCAACUCUCUGUUCCUAUUCUUCCUCUCGGUUCCAGUCACGGUUUGGAUCGAUUCCUUCGAUUCUUGGUGUUCUGGAGUUAAUCCUGCUGGUAGAAGAAGGUGGAGGUGGCCCUGCUUGUGCGCAGCGAGGUUCUCCUGCGCUCCGUUGUCUCACCAGUGCACCUGUGAGGUGCUCUGUAUGUUCUGAUUGCUGUUCACCGUGGCCUGGUGUUUGGGCUCCCUGCUGCGCGGUGUUCAUCUUCUCGGGCUGGUGCCGUGGACGUCUCCCUCGGUUCCGGCAGCGGCUCUAGUAUCUCCGUCAACCUCCCGCCGUGCAGGCCCGGACGUGGGCGGCGGAAUUGGUUUUCUGGGACAGAACCUUGUGUUCGCUGAGCUGGUCUUCCCACGUAGACAAUCUACAUGUUGUGAGUUAUUCGUUGCCUCAUUUUAUUUACUGUUUAAUUUUGUGCAAUCUGCUAGUAUUAAAUACUUGGGUGUGAUUGCACUGUUGUGGGCAGAUUUGUGUGCUCGAUGAUGAUAGCGGUGUAGUGAGACAGCGUGACAGUCUGGGUUUUAGUGUAUUAUCAUUUUCAUCAUUGAUAUUAUUUGUGCCUAAUUAAAUCUCUCUUUGUUGAGGCUGUUUACCUGUGUUAAAUUCUGUUAAUUUAUUUAGUACACAGCUCCUUUCUAUCAGUAUUUAUAUUUGAUUAUUAGGCUUAUUACAUCUGAUCUAAAACCCUUAUUUGGUAAGAUACGACUGUCACGUUAGUCUAGGAUCUCUGAUCACCUUUUAGCGUUGGAGGGCUGUUUAUUACAGCAACCCGCUAUUUUGAGAGCAAUAGUUUAAGAUAAACAAUUAUGUUUAUUUGUUUAAUCUGCCUUCUUCAUCUGCAAGCCAUGUUUAAUUAUGAAAUGGACCUGUGUAGCUAUUUUACAUGUUUACAUGUCUUAGAAUUGCUACUGUUCAUUGCUGCUAUAAUUUCAUAUGGUAUUUAUCUGAGUUAUAUGAUUGUUUUAUUUGGAAUUAGAAUAUUUAAUUUAUUUAAAUAUAAAGGAAGCAUGUCACUUAUUUCUCUAAAUUUACAACACGGGAUGUGGGCACGAGCGCGUUCGUCACAUGCCACGGCAUCAGACUCGCACACACGGCUCCGGCAGUGACAAGAAAUUAAACAGAAAGCGCUCACCUUUGCUUGACAGGAGCAGUCACUGACUCACUGUCCACCAUCGCUCACCUUUGCUUGACAAGAAAUUAAACAAGAAAUAUCUGAACACUGCUAUGUAUCCAGUUUAGGGCCAAGGGAGCAAAUUGGAGUACGCAUAGUUGUUAUACGGUAUAUGUAUAUUAGCUCUCUCUCUCUCUCUCUCUCUAUAUAUAUAUAUAUAUUGAUAAUGGAAACAAGAGUUCCGGCUUUUCGCAUCAGAUGCGUACAACCAUUACAUGUCAAAUGAACAGUUCUUUAAAAAAUAAAACUAACUCGACGAAACCAAAUAACAUGGCUAUGGAAAGCACUAGGCACACUCAAGUCUUGCAUUUGAUCGCCAUCCAUGAAACGCAAAGAUUUUCAUCGCCACCAUUUCUAGAGCUUGACACAUAUCGAUAAUUUGUUGAUGUACAUCCUCCCUUUGUAGGAGUCUCCAGAACCUGAACCAGUGGGUACCUCUGAAGAUGACCUGCACAAUUGAUGGUAUUGGUUUUUGAUUAAAUGCCACCUCAUUUCGAGUAAGCCAAAUAGACCAAAAUAAAGCUGAUAUUCCAGUAAAUAGUAACUUUUUGUAUACUAGACCACAAUUACUUGCCCAAGACCUAAUAAUAUGAUUAAUGUUGACUGGCAUUUCUAUUUUUAGAGCAAGAUAAAUGAUCCUCCAAAUAUUUUUGGCAAUAUAGCAAUCGAAAAAGAGGUGGUGUAUACUCUCAUUACGGUUGCAAAAGCAACAAGUCAAGCUACCUUUCCAAUGUCUUUUAGCUAAAUUAUCUUUGGUAAGGAUCGCUCCUCGACCUAAAUUCCACAAAAACACUUUUAUUUUCAGGGGGAUUUUAAGUUUCCAAAUCAUCUUGUUCCGAUUGUUGUUGGGAUUAUACAUCAACAAAUGGUACAUAGAUUGGACGGAAAAAAUUCCAUUCUUAUGACCAUCCCAAACAAAUUUGUCUCUAGCUGGGCUGAAUCUAACCGUCGUUAGCAAGUGUAACAAUUUUUUCCACUCCACUAAUUUACUUCCCGUAAUUGUUCGGCGAAAAGAUAAAUUAAGAUUCGUGUCUAGACAAACUUCUGCAACCAAGGCCGAUUUAAUGCGCACUGUAUUAAAAAGGUUCGGGAAUUGCUCACAAAAGGGACGACUGGUUAGCCAUUUAUCCUGCCAAAAUCUGGUGUUUUGACCAUCCCCCACUUGAAAGUGACCCAAUCUAAGAAACUGAUCCUUGAUGUUCAUUAGACCUGACUAGAAGUGUGAAUCACCUGAUCUUCUAGAUAUUUGAGUAAGGGAUUUAUCUCCUAGGUAUUUAUUUUUGAGUAACUGUUGCCACAUCUCAUCCUCAUUAAGUAAUUUGUAGAGCCAUUUGCUGAGUAAGCAUAUAUUUUUUAUAGCUAGAUUAGAGAUGCCUAAACCUCCCAAUGCUUUUGGUUGACAGACAAUAUGCCACCUAGCCAACCUAUAUUUCCUUUUACUGCUUCCUCCCUGCCAAAAGAAUCUGGAUCGGAUAGCAUCCAGCUUCUUCAAGAUGCCCACCGGUAUCUCAAAGAACGACAUCAUGAACGUAGGUAGACUACUUAACACAGAAUUAAGCAAUAUCAACUGUCCACCUGAAGAUAAAAAUUUGGCCUUCCAUGUACUAAGCCUCUUUUCAAACCGAUCAAUAACACCCUGCCAGUCACUAUUUCUCAGCCUUCAAUGAAUCAAAGGAAUUCCAAGAUACAUGAAAGGCAAUGUCCCAAUUCCACAACCAAAUAAAUGUGAAUAUUGCAAUUCAUAUUCCUUAGCUACCCCAUAGCAAAAUAGCUCACUUUUGUGGAAAUUUAUUUUAAGCCCAGACAUUUGUUCAAAAACAGUCAAAAGUAAUUUAAUAUUCCGAGCAUGCUCAAGAUUAUGGUCUAAGAAAACCACUGUAUCAUCGGCAUACUGAAGGAUAGAUAAACCCUCUGGAAUCAAGUGCGGAACAAUUCCAUGGAACUGAUUUUCCUCUUUCGCUCUUGCGAAAAGAAUAGCUAACAUAUCCGCAACAAUGUUGAAUAAUAUUGGCGACAAAGGGUCUCCUCGACGAAGGCCCUUGUGAGUAUAAAAGAAAGGACCUACUCCAUCAUUCACUUUAACACCAACAUGACCUCCAGAGAAUAUUUUUUGGAUCCAAGCGCACCAAGAUGAUGAGAACCCCUUCAUACGCAUUGCUUGCUGGAGAAAAUUCCAUUUCACUUUAUCAUAAGCUUUCUCGAAGUCUAGUUUAAUGAUAACACCAUCUAACUUUUUCCUCUGUAAUUCAUGAAUGGAUUCGUGAAGGAUAAUAACCCCUUCAAGAAUAUUGCGACCAGGCAUAAAAGCUGUCUGGGAGGGGCUGACAAUUCUGUGUGCUACACGGCCUAUUCUAUUUGUGAGAACUUUAGUAAUGAUUUUGAACGAAACAUUAAGUAAGCAAAUAGGUCUAUAGUCCUGGAUUUUAUUUGCAUUAUAUUUCUUUGGGAUUAAGGUAAUUGCUCCAAUAUAUAUAUAUAUAUAUAUAUAUAUAUAUAUAUAUAGUUUAGAUAUUAUGAUCCUUAGGCUUCCAAAGAGUGACCAUAAGCCCUGACUCAACGACACCUUUCAGUUCAGCCGCACCACCUCAAAUUGACCAGGUCUCGAGUCGUCUAUAAAAGCUAUCCGAGACCACCACGAAUUAGGGUUUCAGCGCGGCAGCGGUUGCGGGCGGGCGGAUCCAGCACUGGCCGAGCGCGCGACGGCUGCCGCGCGGCGUGGCGAUCGUGUAGGAACCUGCUGCCGCUACAUGUCCUGUCCGCGAUGGAGAGCGCACGCGCCCGAUCUCGCGGUUCUUCAGGGCGCCAUGGGGAUGCGGCGGUUGCAGCAGUUGCGCGACGGUGGAACCAACGCGCGUGGACGGGCUGAUCCUACAUGGGCGGACCAGGACAACGAUUGUCAACAUGCGAGCGCGCGGGUUGUCACACCCGGGUUUCGGAGCACCAAGACCCGGGCGCGAACAUCAUCACCAGGUGUGCUGGGACCAAGUCUCACACAUAUGAUGAAUCAUGGGACAGGAUCGAAUGUCACAUCUUUACUACAUAACAGGAGUCCUGAACAAAAUAAAUAAAUAAUUACAUUAUAAGGAGACAACGGUCCAGCAACCCAAAGUUGACUGGGAGACGACGGCCUAGACCUCUCACGAACACAUCAUAGCAUCCUUCAUGCGCCUCAUCCUGUGAUACCUGUUCUUGACCUGUGGGGGUGUGAGACAGCAAGAGUGAGCUCACAUACGUUCAUAGCUCAACAAGUUGUGGGGAAUAAUGUGCAUGAACUCGCCAAAGGUGGGAGCUCACAAAGUGUAAGGCUUACCAAAGAGGAUGGUUGAGGCUGAGCAUUGCUUUUAGAGUUGGUCAAAAUUUUAUUAGCAAUUACUAAGUAUAAGUAAAUACCAACCCAAUUAAGUAGUAGAACAAAAGUAAUAACCUCACCUGCGAUGCAAUGUAUAUGACAAAUUGAAUUUAGUUCCAUAAAUUAAUCAUGUGAGGGUCCGAGCAGCUCUUGACCGUGAGCACGGCUGAUAUACCAGUUUUACACUCUGCAGAGGUUGCACAUCUUUACCCACAAGUCAUGUUACCCAUCUGCCAAGGGAUCGUGACUUCCCAUACACCUCUACCGAGGAGGCAAGGCAGGGUAACACUACGAGGCCUUUACAAAGUUCCACUAGCUUCAGAAAACCCGCUACAGUUUAUAGGAAGCUCCAAUGCAAGGACCCCUCGCAUGACCGCCAUCGCAGCAAAAUCAUCCCAAGGGCCUCCCUACACUGACCACUCCCCUACUGCACAUGCCCCUUUCGGGUAAGGUAGUCUUCCACUAGCUUUCCUAAUUAAUCAGCCAAGGGCGUCCCAUUAAACCCUUGUGGUAGCACUGUUUUCCCGGGUGGUCGCUCCAUGUUCCAAUUAAUGUAAUGAUCUUAUCAUGAAUAGUAAUAAUAAACUGAUAAUAAAAGUGUAAUCAUGAAUAAUGUAUCUCCAUACCCGAAACCACAUAAAGCAAUAGCAGGUACUACCCAAAAAUUCAGUGGUGAACAAGGUAUAAGGAUAGUCAAACUAGGAUAAUCUAUUAGGUCCCAUCAAAAUUAACCUAUGCAGAUCAUUAUGAUUAAUUAGAACAUGAGUGGGUAAAAAGAAGUGAUCAAGGGCACAACUUGCCUGGGACUUGAGAUUCCAGGUACCAGGAUGAUCUCCAGAUGACUCGUGACCUCACGCUAGUCGUAGCAAUACAGACAAACAUGGUAUAGGCAAAAUUAACAUCACAUCAAACAUAAGUACAAACUGAAUAAUAAUGAUCUACGCGAUGCUACGAGAUCGUGGGAACAAGAAUUACUAAAUACGGAACUACGGUUACCGAGUUAUGAUUUUCCGAAGAUCCACGUGGUUAAAUAUAGGAUAGACUAAGUGCAACAUUUUAACCUAUAUUUCAUGACAAAACAAAGUUACCAGAUGAUAAUAAAUAUUAUUGUGAGACUAAUGCAACUAGAAUGGAUCAAAACGGAGUUACGGUUACUAAGUUAUGAAUUUAUGGAGUUAUUGAGUACCUAGAACGGAUUAAUUCGAAUGAACAAUUUUAAUUCAAAUUUCAUGGCUAAACAGUGUUACUGUUUGGUAGAAAAUAUUAAUACAAAAUUAAUGCCACAAGAAUGGACCAAAAAGAAUUUAAAAUGAAUUUUCUAUGAAUUUAUUGAGUUUCUAGGUUUAUUUAUGUACUAAAAAGUAUUUACUAUAUUAUUUUUACUAUUUUCUUGGUUCACUGGACCGGGCGUCAAAUUCCAGAAAGGUUAGGGGCUAAGAUAUAAAUUUUCCCAGACACAGCUUUAACCCGCGGUGGACGGCGGGUUUAUUUUUCAAAAACUAGAGGGCUCUUUAGCAAUUACGCCACGACGAAGGGGUAUCUUCAAUCGCCAGACAUCCGAUCCCGAUCCAAAGGCUCAGAAUAGAUCGUGAAGGAGUACACGGUAGGCACCACAGGAUCCAAGAUCCACGGUCCAAAAUCUCUCUCCCGUAUUAAAUUGUUCUAGCCUUUGGAUUUCUGAUCCACGGCCGAUAACAAUCCUCUUACCCCAAUCCUUGAUGGCGCAUCCAACGGUCCUCCAUCAUCUUCCCUUCGCGAGGUAGACGGAGCAAUGGUUGCUCCCCGCUUGUGGUGGUAUCUGCCGACCAGGGGUCCAGUCCGCCCGGCGAUCCCCACCCGUUCGAGCUCCAUGGUGAAGUCCUCCCCGACGAGUAACGAAUUGAGUCCAUCAACUUCGCGCGCGAGAAAUAUUUGCACAGGGCGUUUCAUAUGGAAGGUUCCAGGUGGCGGAAACCCAGGGCAUGCCACCCAUGGCGAAUCGGUCGGCGGUGAGCCAUGCCCACGCCGCGGCGUGGCUUUCCCCCCUUCUGUGUAAGCUUUUGCUCCCUGAGACUUCCGUAGCGUCACAAGUCGAUGUGGGCGAAGGGAGGCGUGAGGGCUUGGCUUUUAUUCCCUAGCUGGAUGCGGCGAGCGAGGUCUUAACCAUCCGCGGCAUCCGCGCGAGCACGGAGAUGUUGUUGCUAUGGCCGCGGCUGCGUAGAAGACGAGUUCGACCAGUGCUAAUCCAAGCGGGGAUUACGGGGAUUCGGUCUCAGGCUUUAUCGCGUGUUUGUUUACCAUAAUCCCAGGGAAGAUCCGUGGUGGAUGAGGGAAGGAGUCUGUGGGGAAGACGACCAGUGGUAGGGACCCACAUGGCAGCGGCAAGAGCAUGGUGCGGGCCCAUUGGUCAGUUUCACGGUGCACGCGUGGGUGGGAGCGGCUUAUGACGAGUGGGCCCCACCUGUCGGCACGGAUGCAAGACGGGCUAGUACAGUCGAGUAGUAACUGGGCCAGAGUGGGGAUUCGACCCAGGUAGUGGUAGGUCUUCUUCUUUUUCUCUUUUUUUCAUUUUCUUUCCUACUUUCACAUUAAAUUCAAAUUCAAAUUUCGAACUAAGUUAACAUAGAGUUUAAACUUAAAGUAUAUUUAAGUGUCCAAACAAAACUCCAACAUGUUAUACUUGGUUUAUUUUAUUUUAUAUAUCAAAUAUCUAUUUAGUCAAAUGAAAUAUUCCCAUAUUGUUCCCUUUAGAUAGGUAGUACUUUGAAUGUGUGCCAAGAUCAAAGGUUAAUAAAUAUUCGUUGCUUAUUUUAGAAUGAACAAAUGUUUAAUCUUUACUUUUAGAGAUGUGUUAAUUUAAUUAUACAAUCAACCAAUAGAAAAUUAAAUAGAAUCCUUUUAUUUAAUGACUAUUAGAAAACAUGUUUAUUUUAGGGAUUGUAGCUUCCUCACAAUGAACCUCUUACUAUAAGGCAUUCCAAUUCAAAAUCCUUGGAGAAUUUUAAUACAUUCCUAAAACACUAACAUAAUUAUAUUUAUUUAUUAUUUUCCAUUUUUUUCUCUGAUACAAGUUUUGGGCUUUACACGGGUCUGUCAGGAUCCGGUGCGAGGGGCGCGGCUCUGGCCUACGUGCAGGCAGGCAAACCGGCGAGGGCGGGGCGUGGCUCUAACCAACGCGUGGUCGGGCGGUUCUGUCGUGGACGGAAGGGGUCCGCAGCGGGCGGGCGACAAGUUCGCGGUUGGCGGACGGACGCGGCACUAUCACAGGCAACGCAGUUGAGAUAGGAUCGACGGCGGCUGACUUCUCUAGGGGCGAGCUGCGACAGCGACCUCCCUUAGGCGCGAGUAGCGUCAGAUCCUAGAGGGGCGUGCGGCAGGCGACGACUCCCUUAGGGCGUGAUUGACAGCGUGUUUUUAUGCUACGCUGUAUACAUAUUUAUGCCAACGUAAAUAGAUGUUUACGACAUAUAUUUCAGUUAAUGGCUACCCUUACAUCUAUUGUCUGUUUAUGAUAUUUCUGUUCAUAUUUUACACAAACGUUUAUACAUCUGUAUGCAUUAUCUCGUUACCUAAUCCAGUGUGUAUAUGGGGUUUCUAACAUUUACGUUAGUUCGGUAUUUACGAUCAAAACUGAGAGGUUUUACACUCAAAACUGAAGUUUUUACGAUCGAACAUGGAGAUACGUCCAAACUGUGACCCGCAUGCCAAUUUUUAGGUAGUGUACCGUAAUACAUAAAUACUUUCACCGUGUAGCAUAAUUAGUAUCAAUAUAUAUCAUAAACUGUUUGUAACGAGGCUAGAUGCACGGCUGUUUUAGAGAUCCUAUUUUUAUGGACGAAAUAAAGCAUUUAAAUCAUAUAUUUUGUUUCGAUGCAUGCCAAUGUAUUUCUGAAAGGGAAAUGUGCCCUUGGGCCAUUUCUAUAAGAUUUUGGUGAUUAAGUGCUCCACACAAAUGCUUUGAGUGAUAUUUGUGCCAAAGACUCAAGAAGUGCAAAUCAAGAUUAAAAGGUAUGUUUCUAGACUUAGUACAUUGUUUUGAAGACUAAUGUAUUAUGUCUAAGUGCUGGAAAUAAGAGAAAUCGUUUUGGAGAAAAGUUGGCUGUGUACAGCAAAAGGCUGCUCGGUCUGGGUGCACCAGACAGUGUCUGGUGUGCCAGGACCAGUCCCGGUGAACAGCCUGCUCUCGGGUCUCGACGGUGGCGUACGACUAUAAAUCACCGGACUGUCCGGUAGUGCACCGGACUGUCCGGUGAGUCAUCUGCGGCGAAGUCGCUGCUCUCGGGAAACAGUCAACAGCGUACGACUAAAAUUCACCGGACUGUCCGGUAGUGCACCGGACCGUCCGGUGAGCCAACGGUCGACUGCGCCAACGGUCGACCGCGCAAUCCGCGCGUGACGCGUGGCCGAGCCAACGGUCAGAUGGGGGCACCGGACUGUCCGGUGUGCACCGGACAGUGUCCGGUGCUCCAACGGCUACAAAUCUUCAACGGUCGGCUGCGCCAAUUUAGGAAUGCAAUCUGCACCGGACAGUGAACAGUGGAUGUCUGGUGGUGCACCGGACUGUCCGGUGCGCCACCCGACAAAAGGCAAGAAUUGCCUUCCUGGAUUGCUUCCAACGGCUCCUAGCUGCCUUGGGGCUAUAAAAGGGACCCCUAGGCAUAUGGAGGAGUACACCAAGCAUACUUUGAGCAAUCUUAAUCUCUCACACUCCGUCUUUGCGCACUCGAUUGACAUUCUUAGUGAUUUGAGCUCUGUUCUAGUGGUGAACUUGUUGUGAUUCAUUCGAGCUCAAGUCUUGGCUGUGUGUGUGCGUAUUGCUGUGGAUUUGUGUGUGUUGCUUCCCUCCCUUACUCUAGUGCUUUCACUUUGAUCCUCAUUGUAAGGGCGAGAGACUCCAAGUUGUGGAGAUUCCUCGCAAACGGGAAAGAGUAAAGAAAGAAGAACACCGUAGUAUUCAAGUGGAUCUUUGGACCACUUGAAAGGGGUUGAGUGAAACCCUCGUCCAUUGGGAUGCCACAACGUGGAGUAGGCAAGUGUUGUACUUGGCCGAACCACGGGAUAACUCGCGUGUCUUUUGUGAUUGCUUUUCUGUGAUACUUGUGUUCACAAGAGCUCGCUAUUUAGCCUACUAACACUUAACCAAGUUUUUGUGGCUAUAAGUUUUAAGUUUUUACAGGAUCACCUAUUCACCCUCCUCUAGGUGCUCUCAAUUUCCUUUCAACGCACAUUCGUCCUAAAUUUGUGUGCAUGCAACAGGAAAUAAAUUUUUUUACGCGGUGUACCACACUACAUAAAUAACCAUGUAGCAUAAUUAGUAUCAGUAUAUGUCAUAAUUUGGUUCUAACGAGCCUAGCUGCAUGACUGUUGGAGAGAUCCUAUUUUUAUGGAGGAAAUUAACCAUUUAAAUCAGAUUUUUUUUAGUUUUCAUGCAUGCUAAUCUAUUUCCUUUUAACGCACAUUCUUUGUCAUCCUAAAUUUAUGCGCAUACAAUAGGAAACUGAUUUUUUACGCGGUGUACCACACUGCAUAAAUAUCCACACAGUGUAGCAUAAUUAGUAUCAGUAUAUAUCAUAAACUAAUUCUAACGAGCCUAGUUGCAUGAUUCUUUGUAGAGAUCCUAUAUUUAUAGGAGAAAUAAAACAUUUAAAUCAGAUUUUUUGUUUCCAUGCAUGUCAAUCAAUUUCCUCUCAACGCACAUUCUUAUCUUCUUAAAUUUGUGCACAUAUAGGAGGAAACUAGUUUUUUAUGCGGCAUGUCGUAUUGCAUAAAUACCUACACCGUGUAGCAUAAUUAAUAUCAGUAUAUAUCAUAAAAUGUUUCCAACAAAAUUAGCUGCAUGACUGUUAUAGAGAUCCUAUAUUUAUGGACAUAAUAAAACAUUCAAAUUAGAUUUUUUGUUUCUAUGCAUGCCAAUUCAUCUCCUAAAUUUGUGCGCAAGACUUCCAAUUUUGUUGCGCACGGCGGACCGCCGAGCUCCCCCCGAGAGCUUGGUUUGUAAGGUUCAUACGUGAUGAAGAUGGCUAGAGGGGAAGCGGGGCACGGUAUUUAUUUUCUAGAGCCUAAGAAAGCGCGGAGUCUAGUGGCCAGACCAUGGCUGAUCCCAACGCCCCCGACAAGCUCGGGUUCAGUUACCAGUGCCAACAGAGAAGAAGCCCUAACGAUGCGGGUCCACAGGUAAGCGACCCAGCAUGAGGGAAAUGAGCCCAACAUGCGGGGCCCACCCGCCAGUGGCGACGAGGCACGCGCGAGAGGCCGCGCAGAGUGGGUCGACGCGAGAGAAGGCUUACACGGGCCGACAGCUCGGUCAGUGGCUACCGCAGCCAUGGUCCUUUUCUUUUCUAUUUCAAAUAUCAAAUAUUUCCAAACCAAAUUCUAAUUCCUGUUUUGAGUGUUAGGUAUCAAAUCUCAAAUAUAAUCCAAUGCGAAUGUAAAUCCUACUAUUUCUAACAUUAUUAUUUAUUCUCCUUCUCAUUAUUUAAUUCUAGAAGUAAUAAAUGAUUUUAUUACAUGUUUCUUUUCAUAUUUUAUAUUUUAAUUUAUAAUUUGAGGUCAAAUUUAAAUUAUGAUUCCUUAUUUCAAUAAAAUGUAUCACCACAAAUUCAUAAGUAUGAGAUGCACAUUCCUUUAUUCAUCUAUUGGUUACAUGACUACAUUAAUGCCAUUAUCUGAUUAUGAGAAGGAAGGAACUAAUGGAUUUCCAAAGGUUUUCAAAAAUUCCCAAAACAUUACCAUAAAUAUAUGUAUUUAUUUCUUUUAUUUAUUUUUUAUAAAAAAUUUUGGGCUUUAUAACCUAGAGGGGAUGAAUAGGUGUUCCUAUAAAAAAUAUCUCAACAAAACAAACUUGGACUAAUAUUGGAUUAGUGAAAGUAAGAGCCAAGUUCAAAUGAGGAGUAUGAGCAGAGUAAACUUCUUCACUUAAUUGCUCUUCACUAAGUGAGUAUUAAAUUUAGAGCAAUAAUGUAAGUGAAGUGAAUAGAGAUAAAAUCACAGUAGGAUAAAGACAAGUAACACGGCGAUUUUUAUCAUGUGGUUCGGUCAAGUAGAAUACUUGCCUACUCCACGUUGUGGCGUCCCAACGGACGAGGGUUGCACUCAACCCCUUUCAAAUGAUCGAAAGAUGUAAUACCCAAUUUUGGAAUAUAAAAGAGAAGAAUAAAUCUUUAUGUGUAUUGUACUUUUCAUUCAUAAGAAUUACUAGGAAACAUAUUUCAAGUGGAUAAUCCUCCAAUAAAACAUGCAUCAAGUUGGAGUUUGUAGGUUUGUGCGUUAAAUAAUGAUAAUAAUUAUAAUAAUAAUAUAAUAAUAGUGAUUGGAGGUUUGGAUUAAACCCUAAAUUGAAAUUGAAUUGGAAAUAAGAAAGAAAGAGAGAAAUAUUAUACAACACCAAAAUAAAAUUACAAAUAAAUAAGUCCAUCUUAAUUUUUGGGCAUGUUCAAAUCAUACAUCUAAAAAUGAGUACAAAACUCACUAUGAAAAUUUGAAUUCACAUUUGGAAUGAAUAGGUAAAAAGAAAAAGAAAUAGGAAAGGAAAAAGGGGAAGAACUCGGAUUGGGCCUGCAAGCACCAUUUUGGCCCAUCCUUUGCGUCCUUCGUGCGCGCGCCAGGUCCAUAUCAGCACUGUGCCGACAUCGGGGACCCACUGGCCAGCCGCUCGCCCUCACGCUAGCGCGCGCUGCCUCACUGUCUAGUGGCCCCCUCCGUUAGAUCUUUCCCCCGCAACUAGGGAUGGCAGUGGGUAAGGUACCCAGUGGGCACACGAAGCCAUACCCAUACCCACUAGGAAAAAAUUGACCCAUACUCAUACCCACUACCCUUCAUGGGUACAAAAUUAUGUCAUACCCAUACCCAACAUGGGUAGCGGGUAUCCAUCGGGUACCCAUACCCAUUAACAUUACGAUAGACAUGAUCAUUUGAAUCGCAAAAAUAAGUACCAGCAUAACAAAUGUAUCGAACCCAACAUAAUUUUAUCACAGGUUCAACAAUAUUCAAUAUUAAAUAGCAAUAUCAUGCCUUCAAAUCACACAAAACAUAGCAUUGACAUACCCAUACCCACCAUGGGUAGCGGGUAUCCAUCGGGUACCCAUACCCAUUAACAUUACGAUAGACAUGAUCAUUUGAAUCGCAAAAAUAAGUACCAGCAUAACAAAUGUAUCGAACCCAACAUAAUUUUAUCACAGGUUCAACAAUAUUCAAUAUUAAAUAGCAAUAUCAUGCCUUCAAAUCACACAAAACAUAGCAUUGAUUCUACAAAACUGUGGACAAAACAUAGUAUUCAUUUUAUAUGAGACAUAUAAAUCCGGACCCACGUGUCAUAUAUUAGCGGGUUCCCCAUCGGGUAGCGGGUAUGGAGCAACAGAGAACAUACCCACGCCCACCAUACCCGAUGGGCAUAACAAAUGACCCAAUAAAAUACCCAUGGGUAUCAAAAUCCGCCAUACUCGUGCCCUAAUAGGGUUUUUACCCAUCGGGUUUCGGGUUUCGGGUACCCAUUGCCAUCCCUAGGCCGAACUGACGGCACGCACACGCACUGAGCCAGCAAAAGGUAUGGUAGCAUAGAGGAGUUUGGGGUAGGGAUGGCAGUGGGUAAGGUACUCAGUGGGCACACGAAGCCAUACCCAUACCCAGUAGGAAAAAUUGACCCAUACCCAUACCCACUACCCUUCAUGGGUACAAAAUUAUGCUAUACCCAUACCCACCAUGGGUAGCGGGUAUCCAUCGGGUACCCAUAUCCAUUAACAUUAUGAUAGACAUGAUCAUUUGAAUCGCAAAAAUAAGUACCAGCAUAACAAAUGUAUCGAACCCAACAUAAUUUUAUCACAGGUUCAACAAUAUUCACUAUUAAAUAGCAAUAUCAUGCCUUCAAAUCACACAAAACAUAGCAUUGAUUCUACAAAACUGUGGAUAAAACAUAGUAUUCAUUUUAUAUGAGACAUAUAAAUCCGGACCCACGUGUCAUAUAUUAGCGGGUUCCCCAUCGGGUAGCGGGUAUGGAGCAACAGAGAACAUACCCACGCCCACCAUACCCGAUGGGCAUAACAAAUGACCCAAUAAAAUACCCAUGGGUAUCAAAAUCCGCCAUACCCGUGUCCUAAUAGGGUUUUUACCUAUCGGGUUUCGGGUUUCGGGUACCCAUUGCCAUCCCUACCCGCAACGAACUCACUAAGCUCAGCGGUGGCGCGUAAUUGUCGCACGAGUCGUUGCGACGCCUUGGCCUAGUCCAUGCCUAUUUACGUGGCCACGAUCUUGGUGCCGUCCUAUUCUCCUCCUUGUGCAUCCUCGCCUCCACCGAAAGAUUGUGCGUCGUGUGAGGAUGGGAGGGAAAACCUGAACCCGUUCGACCAUGGGUGGGGAACGCGUCGCCACCAUCGCCUGGUGCUCGCGGGGCGUUUGGGGAAGCUUGCCAGCGUGCCCUGACCCUGUGUAGUGAGGUCGUUGGGCGUGUGGCCGUCUGGUGUGUGCGAAUCUUCACCACGUCGAUCCGCCAUCGUCGCCGAGACUGCCUGGCGUCACGUCCGUGCCCCCUUUCCGCCUUCUCUGUUGAUAAUUCCUGUUCCCUAGCUGCGUCACCUCCCUUGGUCGGUAGGAGUUCACCCCACGCCCGAAAUUUGACUUGCGGUCUCUGAAAUUGCUCGCCGGUGUGGUGAUUUCACCAUGAAAUCGCCCUCCCGUAGCCGGAACUCCAUACUGCGGAACGCGGCCGACGAAGCCAUCUGUGUAGUUCCCAAUCACUCACAUUUCAUUUUGUGCUAAUCGGGGCUGGGGUUUGUCAACGGGUGAUGGGGCGUGGGGGGGUUCCGGCGUGUUGCGCGACCGUGGAUGGGCGGCGCCGCCGUGUAGAGACGUCCGAGGACGAAGACGCGCUCGGGCCGUUAGAUUGGCAUUGGACGAUUACGAUUAGUCCUCCCAGGAAAUGAGUCUGGAUGGUUAGAUCGGGAUCGGGCGACCCAGAUUAAGUCCAGCGUACCUCUUCGUCCAACUGGAUCUUGGCCGUAGAUUUAUAAUCCGAUGCAUGUGAAUGAAUCCCGAUAAUAUAGAAUUCAAGCCAUUGAUCUUGAUCCUGCAGCUCAAAUUUAAUACCAGCCCAACCUCCCCUUGAUCUGUUCUGGACCGUACAGAUCUAAUCCAACAGCCCAUAUCCACCGAUACCCUUUCGCGGCACAUUUUUCUUAAAGAGACCCUGGGUUAUUGAUGAUUAAACCUGCAGUCCACCUUGUACAGCACUCUGAGUCUAAGUUUCUUUUACGCCCGAGUCCUUGUGUUUUCCAGAAAUUGGUGCCCAAUCCAGAGAGUAGUGGAAAUAGGAAAAUAAUCACAGAAAUUGAUUUUAAAUGUAUAAAUAAAUGUUAGAACUUGUUUAAUUUGUAGAAAAUUCAUAUGAACUCCAAAUUGAUCCAUUCCAGUUUCUAAAAUUUUGUAAUAUUAUUGUUUAUCACCUAGUGCCUCUGUUUUGACAUGAAAGACACAUUAAAAUUUAUCUUUUACUUAAGCUUGUAUUAAAUACAUAAAACCUUGGGAAAUUCAGAACUUAAAAUCUAUAACUCCAAAUUUAAUGAUUCCAGCUCCUAUGAUCUUAUUUUAAUGUGUAGAUAAUUGUUAUGCAUUUUGUUUACAUGCUUGGUGUGAUGUUAAUUUUUGUUAUACUAUGUAUGUUUGUAUUGAUGCGAGUAGACAAGCAAGCUACUGAGGAUCCUGGUGCCCAGUAGAUAGAAGUUGCUGAGCAGGAGCUCAUUGAAGGCAAGUUGUGCCCUUGAUCACUUUCUUUUUACCCAGUCAUGUUCUUAUUAAUCAUAAUGAUCUGCAUAGGUAAAUUUUGAUGGGAUCCAAUACGUUACCCUAGUUUUGGCUAUCUUUAUACCUUGUUUUAUCACUGAAUAUUUUUGGGUAGUAUAUGCUAUUGCUUUAUGUGGUUUUGGGUAUGGAGAUAUACAUCACUCAUUGUUACACUUUUGUUAUCAGUUAUUAUUUACUAUUCAUGAUAAGAUCAUUAUGUUAAUGGGAACAUGGAGAACCACCCGGGAAAACAGUGCUACCACAAGGGUGGUAUGGGACACCCUUGGCUGAUUAACUAGGAAAGCUAGUGGAUGACUACCUUACCCGAAAGGGGCAAGGGCAGUAGGGGAGUGGUCAGUGUAGGGAGGUCCUUGGGUUGAUUUUGCUGCGAUGGUGGUCAGGCGAGGGAUUUCUACAUUGGAGCUUCCUAGAACUGUAGCGGGUUUUCUGAAGCUAGUGGAUCUUUAUAAAGGUCUCGUAGUGGUACCCUGCCUCGCUUCCUUGGUAGAGGUGUAUGGGGUCCGAUCAACCCCAUGGCAAAUGGGUAACACGACUUUGUGGGUAAAGAUGCGCAACUUCUGCAGAGUGUAAAACUGGUAUACUAGCCGUGCUCACGGUCAUGAGCGGCUUGGACACUCACAUGAUUAAUUUAUGGAAUUAAACUCAAUUUGUCAUUUUAUUGCAUUGGGAUUAUUUUAUUAUUACUUUUACUUAUUAUUACUAUGGUUUGGUAUUUACUUACACUAACUGCUAAUAAAAUUUUGACCAACAUAUAAAAGCAAUGCUCGACUUCAGCCUUUAUUACAUUGAUUUGCCUUACACUUCACAUGAACUCUCACCUUUGAUGAGUUCAUGCACAUUAUUCCCCACAACUUGUUGAGCGAUAAACAUGUGUGAACUCACCCUUGCUGUCUCACACCCCCCACAGGAGAAGAACAGGUGGUCGAAGAGGAGCCGCCUAACACUGAGGCUUUCGACUUGAUCUAGGUGGCGUCUCCUAGUGAGCUUUGUGGCGCCAGUGAAUAAUAUUUAGUUCGCUUUAUUUUAUCAUUUAUUUUUGUAAGACUUCCACUAUGUAAUAAGUACAUUUAUGAUAUUUAUGACAUUUAUCUCUAUGCACUCUAUUAUUAUAUGUGUUGUCUUCUUUGGCGCAUAUAUGAGAUGCACCCGGCUUUGUUCCUUAAAUCCGGGUGUGACAAAAGAUCAACUUGAAUACCACGGUUCUCUUUAUCUCAAUAAUAUCCCAUUGUGAGGAAUCUCCACAAUUUGGAGUCUCUCACGCCUUACACAAAUGACCUCAAAUGAACACAAGAGUAAGGGGAAUAGAAACACACACAAGAACGAGAGUUGCAGUAACAACAUGCACAUAAGACAAGAGAGAGCACACGAAGCAGCACAGUGGAGUUACAGCUUAAAGAAGUGCUCAAAUCUCUAUCACAAUGAAACAAUUGCGUGUUUGUGCAUUCUCAGUGUUGUAGAAUGUUCAAUGGGUGCUUGGUGUAGAGCUCCAUGCGCCUGGGGGUCCCUUUUAUAGCCCAAAGGGACCUAGGAGCAGUUGGAGCUCCAUUUGGUAGGCUUUGGUUGCCUUCUGUCAGUGGGCGCACCGGAUAGUCCGGUGCACCACUGGACUGUGAACAGUGCGAUUCCCUUCCUUCUUUGACAAAGCCGACUAUUGCCAGCCGCUGGCCCCGUGGCACACCGGACAGUCCGGUGCGGCCUAGUGACCGUUGACUGAGUCCACGUGUUGCCCGUUGAUAGAGUGGUCGACCGUUGGAUGGACGCGCGACUGGUACACUGGACAGUCCGAUGAAUUUUAGCCAUGGCACCCUCCACUUUUCUCGAGAGAGGCCUGUUCACUGAGCGCGCCAGCCUGGGCAUCAGACACUGUCUGGUGCACACCGGGUAGUCUGGUGUACCGUAGGCUAGUGCAAGUUUGGAUGAACUUAGCCAAACUUCUCCCUUUGAAUCUCUCUUGAUUUCAGAAGUUUCCUAGCACUUAGUAGAACAUAGUUAGUACAAAAAAACAAUUUACUAAGUACUAGAAUCAUACCUUUGUUUCUUGUAGAGUUUGCACUUUGUUCUUACAACUCUCAAUUUGCUUCACUUUGACUCUAAGCUCAUACUCACAAUUAGUAUGUUAUAUCAAAGUGAUGUGUUAGAAACUUAAUCACCAAAACACUUAGAAAUGGCCCAACGACACAUUUCCCUUUCAACCAUUGAUAGUCGCGUAGAGGGGGGUGAAUAGGCGGAAUCUGAAAAUUAUAAACUUAAGCACAAACUACAAGCCAGGGUUAGCGUUAGAAAUGAAUUCGAGUCUGAAAGAGAGGGGAAAAACAAAUCAAGAGUGAAUCAAACGGAUGAACACGGUGAUUUGUUUUACCGAGGUUCGGUUCUAAAGAACUUAGUCCCCAUUAAGUUGGUCACAAAGACCGAGUCUCUUUCAACCCUUUCCCUCUCUCAAACGGUCACUUAGACUGAGUGAGACUUUUCCUUAAUCUCCUAGGUCACUUAGACCCCGCAAGGACCACCACAACUUAGGUGUCUCUUGCUUCGAUUACAAAUCACUUGAGAAAAGAAACGAGAAAGGAAGAAGGCAAUCCAAGAGGCAAGAGCUCAAAAGAACACAAAAUCUCUCUCUCACAAGUCACUAAGUGCUUGAGUUGAAUUUGGGACUUGGAGAGGCUUUGAUCUUUUGAAUUGUGUCUAGGAGUGAAUGCUAGAGCCCUUGUAUUGAAUGUGAUGCUCAGAAAUCUUGGAUCCUUGUGGUGGUGGUGGUUGGGGGGUAUUUAUAGCCCUCAACCACCAAACAACCAUUGGGGCAGGCUGCUGUCGAUGGGCGCACCAAACAGUCCGGUGCGCCACCGGACACUGUCCGGUGCGCCAGCCACGUCACCCAAUCGUUAGGGUUCCAGAGCUCUUGACCGCUGGAGGCUUUGUCCUCUAGUGGCACCGGAAAGUCUGGUGCUACACCGGACAGGCACUAUUCAGUGUCCGGUGUGCCUCUGACUCUGCGCUCUGACUCUGCUACGCACUGUGGCGCACUGUAGCGUUGCAGUGAGCCGUUGCAGUCGACCGUUGCGCUGGAUAGCCAUUACUCAGCUAGUGCACCGGACAGUCCGGUGGCACACCGAACAGUCCAGUGAUUUUUAGUGAAGCGCGCCUGGAGAAACCCGAGAGUGUCCAGUUCGAGAUUGUACAGUCCUGGUGCACCGGACACUGUUCGGUGGCACACCGGACAGUCUAGUGCGCUAGACCAGGGCACACUCGGUUUCUUUGCUCCUUUGUCUUUGAACCCUAACUUCAAUCUUUUAUUGGUUUGUGUUGAACCUUUAUGCACCUGUAGAAUAUAUAUACUAGAGCAAACUAGUUAGUCCAUUAUUUGUGUUGGGCAUUCAACCACCAAAAUUAAUACUGGGAAAAGGUUAACCCUAUUUCCCUUUCAAUCUCCCCCUUUUUGGUGAUUGAUGCCAACACAAACCAAAGCAAAUAUAUAACUGCAGAAAUGAACUAGUUUGCAUAAUGUAAGUGCAUAGGUUACUUGGAAUUAAACCAAUUUAUAAUUUCACUAGAUAUGAAUGGAUUACUUUCUUCUAUUUAAUAUUUUGGACCACAUUUGCACCACUUGUUUUGUUUUGCAAACCUUUUUGGGAAAUAUUUUUCAAAGUCUUUUACAAAUAGUCAAAGGUAUAUGAAUAAGAUUGCAAGAAGCAUUUUCAAGUUUUGAAAUUUCUCCCCCUAUUUCAAAUGCUUUUCCUUUGACUUGACAAAACUCCCCCUAAAUGGAAUUCUCCUCUUAGUUUUCAGGAGGGUUUUAAUAGAUACCAAUUGGAAAUAUAUUCGGAAUUUAGAUACCAAUUUUGAGAAUCUAUCUUCCUAAAUAUACCAAUUGAAAAUAAACAUACCAAUUUGAAAUAUACCAAUUAAAAAGUUUCAAAACACAAUUUAAAAUUAGGUGGUGGUGCGGUCCUUUUGCUUUGGGCUUAAUACUUUCUCCCCCUUUGGCAUUAAUCGCCAAAAACAGAGACUUUGAGAGCCCUUGUAUUUUCUUCCCCAUUGGUAAAUGAAAUAUGAGUGAAGAUUAUACCAAUUUGAGAGUGAUGUGGAGUGACGGCGAAGGGUAAAUGAUACCGUUAGAGUGGAGUGGAAGCCUCGUCUUCGCCGAAGACUUCAUUUCCCUUUCAAUCUAUGACUUAGUAUAGAAAUAUACUUGGAAACACAUUAGUCAUAGCCUUGGUACACAAAUAAUAAGAAAUAUGCAUUUGUACCAAAAUGAAAGAGAUAUGAUCAAAGGUAUAUAAAUGAGCUAUGUGUGCAAUGUUUCAAUCAAAAUUCCGGGAAUCAAGAAUAUUUAGCUCAUUCCUAAGUUUGCUAAAGGUUUUCUCAUCUAAUGGCUUGGUAAAGAUAUCAGCUAAUUGUUCUUUGGUGCUAACAUAAGCAAUCUCGAUAUCCCCCUUUUGUUGGUGAUCCCUCAGAAAGUGAUACUGUAUGUCUAUGUGCUUAGUGCGGCUGUGUUCAACGAGAUUAUCCGCCAUGCGGAUUGCACUUUCAUUAUCACAUAGGAGAGGGACUUUGCUCAAUUUGAAGCCAUUGUCCCUAAGGGUUUGCCUCAUCCAAAGUAAUUGCGCACAACAAUGGCCUGCGGCAAUAUACUCGGCUUCGGCGGUGGAAAGAGCUACUGAGUUUUGUUUCUUUGAAGCCCAAGACACCAGGGAUCUCCCCAGAAACUGACAAGUCCCUGAUGUGCUCUUCCUAUCAAUUUUACAUCCUACCCAAUCAGCAUCAGAAUAUCCUAUUAAAUAAAAAAUGGAUCCCUUGGGGUACCAAAGACCAAACUAUAAUACCCAAAAGUGUAGAAUGAAAAUAUAGUGGAAUUACAUAUAUGUUUUUGCCCUGGUUAUUAUGACAUGUGAACAACAAAUUUAAAAGUGGACAACUAAAUAAAAGACACAUAAAUAACUCAUGCAUCAUGCUGGAGUUUAUUUUAUUGCGCAUAUAUAAAUAAUAAAAAUUAUAAUAUAAAAAACAAUACAUUGAUAUACAAACUAGAAUUUAAAACCUAAAUGGGGGGCAAAACUUUGGAGAAAGAGAAGAGAAUACCGCAUAAAAUAAAGCAAAUAUAUAUAUAUAUUCUUCUUAUCAUAAGAUUUGAAUUUUGUACGUUGAUAUACGUGCAAGUCACAACCAAAUUUAAAUUCGAAAUUCGAAAUCUAAAAUGAAAAAAAUAAUAAAAAAAGAAAGAAGAAAGAACCUGAAUGGGCCCAAACCUUCCCCUUGGCCCACCGGCUCCUUGCUUCGUGCGGCCCAAUACCAGCCGACUCCAGUCCGCAGGCGUGCGCUCCAACUCCUUAGGGCUUGUUCGGUUAUUUUCGUUCCAUGUGGAUUAGAGUGGAUUUGGUGGGAUUGAGAUGUAUUUUGACCUAUUAUGGAUUUAAACCGACUCGAUACCAUCCAAUACACAUGGAUACACAUCAAAACGAACAAGCCCUUAGUUGGCUGACCAUGCGGGCCAGCUGCUCAGCCUCUCCACCGGUGCUUACGCGUGGGUCCGGAUCAUGGGGGGUAUCUUCUUCCUCCCUGCUUCCGCGUCAAUCGGAUGGUAGGAACCGUUCGCGGCAUGUGCGGACCAGCUGACCGCCUGGGCUCCGAGUUCGUAAAUGGGGAGGUGGGAUUCCAGACCACGAUUUCGUCCGCUCUGAACCUCGACCACAAUUGUCGCAGAACCAGGAAAAGCGAGAAAAAGUGGAGACGAUCUCGCCGCUGCCCUUCUCUUCGCCUCUUUCGCCGCUGCGCUCACAUCCACCAAGCCGUCGGGCUACACACAAAUAGUGGGACCGUUGCAACCACCGCGGCUUCCCUGGGAUAUUUACGCAGUGCGCCCAACGAUUCUUCCCCUCUCCUUUAUGUCGUGAUCUCAAAGCGAAUUGCGGGAUCCCUAGCUGCCGCCGUGUGCAUCUGCGUCGUGAGGAGAGAGGGUAAGGGAGAGAAAAUCUAUGCCGCCGUUGUGGUUCUCCUCGUUCGCCGUCGCCAAAGCAGUAACUCCCGGCCGCUGGUGGUCCCUGGAUCCUCCGCGAGCUGCCUCUGCCGCGCGUCAACUGCGAUAAUGCGGUCGCCAUGGCGCGCCCGCGCCACCGUCUCAGCGGCUGUUUCCAAUCUGCUCUACCGAUUGGUAGACGGCUGGGGGAGCAUCUUCUCCGGGGGACACCGCGUGUCGUGGAGCCUUGCCGAAGUUCAGGGACGUCUGGGGAUGGCGUAAUUGCUUGUCGUGGUUUAUGCAUCGCCGCGAGGUUGCUGGGAUUGGUGGUCUUCGCACUCCAACGCAUCAACCGCACGUAUUGCUGUAUCCAUAUACUAGUUCGCACUCGACUCUAGAUCGCGUAGCACCUGAGUUUGUGGAGUCUGGGGCAUGGAAACAACGUUGGGGCGUGGGCCGGUGUGACCUCAGCCACGGGCGAUGGCCGUCUGCCGUGGCUGGCUGUCGGAGGGUAGAAGGAGAGUCCUUGGCGGUCGGUUUCUUGAUGGACGGCUCGGAUUCAACCAGAGCCAUACCGGUUGGGUGGAUAAUUCGUAGCCCCUGGAUCGUGAUCCUGCGGCUCGAGAUGGAAUCGCUCGUGAUUAAGUGCCCACAGUUGAUCCUUGAUCUUGUGGACUGGAAUGCGUACCAGUUCAAUUGGGGUGGGGAUCUAAUCUGGACCAUCUGGGUCAGAUCUUACGGCCCUGUGUAACCCAUACCCCUUUGGCAUGUGUUUUUAUAAAAUGAACCCUAGAAAACCUAUGAAUCAACCCGUCGUCCAAUGCAGCAUCCCUCUGUGUCUGUGGAAUCUUGCGCCAGACCCCCUGCACUUUCCAGAAACCGAGGCCCAGUCCAGAGUGGAUUAAAAAUAGAGAAAUAAUCUUAGAAAUUCGUUUUUAAUACAAAAACAAAUCUAGAAACUUGUAAAAUGCAUAAAAAAUUCAUUUUAGCUCCAAAUUGAACCAUUCCAAUUCCUAUAAUUUUGUAAUAUUAAUGUCUAUCAUUUAGUGUCUCUGUUUUUACAUGAAAACAGUAAGAAAAUUAAUUUCUCAUUUAAUCCUAUUUCAAGCACAUUAAACCUUAGGAAAUUCAUAACUUGAAAUCUAUAACUCCAAAUUUAAUGAUCCCAGUUCCUAUGAUCUCAUUUUAAUGUGUAGAUUUUUAUUGUUUAUUUUAUUUAUCUGUUUGAUGUGAUGUUAAUUUAUGCUAUACUAUGUAUGUAUUGUGUUGAUGCGAGUAGACGAGCAAGCCACUGUGGAAUCUGAGGUUCGGUAAGUAGAAGUAGCUGAGCAGGAGCUCAUUGAAGGCAAGUUGUGCCCUUGAUCACUUACUUUUUCCUAGCCAUGUUCUUAUUAAUUAUAAUGACCUGCAUAGGUUAAUUUUGAUGGACCCAAUAGGUUACUCUAGAUUUGACUAUCUUUAUACCUUAUUUCACCACUGGUUUUACUACUAAAUUUUUGGGUAGUACAUGCUAUUGCUUUAUGUGGUUUUGGGUAUAGAGAUAUUUUUUACUCAUGAUUACAUUUUUAUUAUUUGUUUAUUAUUACUAUUCAUGUUAAGAUCAUUAUGUUAAUGGGAACAUGGAGCAACCACCCGGGAAAACAGUGCUACCACAAGGGUUUAAUGGGACGCCCUUGGCUGAUUAACUAGGAAAGCUAGUGGAGGUCUUCCUUACCCGAAAGGGGCAAGGGCAGUAGGGGAGUGGUCAGUGUAGGGAGGUCCUUGGGUUGAUUUUGCUGCGAUGGCGGUCAGGCGAGGGAUUCCUGCACUGGAGCUUCCUAUAAACUGUAGCGGGAUUUCUGAAGCUAGUGGAACUUUGUAAAGGCCUCGUAGUGUUACCCUGCCUCGCAUCCUUGGUAGAGGUGUAUGGGAUUGGCCGUCUCUUGGCAGAUGGGUAACAUGACUUUUGGAUAAAGAUGCGCAACCUCUAUAGAGUGUAAAACUAGUAUACUAGUCGUGCUCACGGUCAUGAGCGGCUCGGACCCUCACAUGAUUAAUUUAUGGAACUUAAAUUUAAUUUGACAUUUUGCAUCGCAUUUGGGAUUAUUUUACUAUUACUUUUCUUUAUUAUUAUUAAGGUUUGGUAUUUACUUACACUUAUUAAUUGCUAAUAAAAUUUUGACCAACUUAUAAAAGCAAUGCUCAGCUUCAGCCUUUAUUUCAUUGAUCAGCCUUACACUUCUUGAACUCCCACCUUUGGUGAGUUCAUGCCACAUUAUUCCCCACGACUUGUUGAGCUAUGAACGUAUGUGAGCUCACUCUUGCUGUCUCACACCCCCACAGGAGAAGAACAGGUGGUCGAAGAUGAGUUGCCUAACACUGAAGCAUUCGACUUGAUCUAGGUGGCGUCUCCCAGUCAGCUUUCUGGCGCCAAGGAUAGAUUUUAGUUCCUGCUAUAUUUAUCAUUUAUUUUUGUAAGUCCUCCGCUAUGUAAUAAGUACUCUGAUUUUACUGUGACAUUUAUCUCUAUGCACUCUGUUAUUAUAUAUGUUGUCUUCUUUGGCGCAUGUAUGACAUGCACCCGGAUUUGUCCCUUAAAUCUGGGUGUGACAGAAGUGGUAUCAGAGGAAAUGUUGAGUGUAGGACGAAACCUAGAUAGAAAUGGACAAACCCUUACCUACUUAUCUUACUCUGAUUCAUUCCAUACUUACCUUAUCUUGAUCUUGUCUCACCUUUUGCUAUUCUACUCUGAUUAUUCUUACCUUUACUACUCUAAGACAAGAUGGAUUUCACACCUUGGAAUCCUACAUUUAUGAACUUUUUAAGAGAUAGGAGACCUAAGACAAAAUUAAAAUUAUUUUCUCUAUUAAAAAUGUUGGAUGAUUGUUCUGUUGAUAAAUGCUUGAUUUGCUUCUUUGAUUGAUUGAAAUAGUAUAGACGGGCAUCUUAGCAUGUACCACCAUAAGGUAAUGUAUUAGCUUUAGUGGAUAACACACUAAUCUACUUAGCUAAUAAAUUCCCCGCAGUAACAUGCCUUGUAAUUACAUGCCUUGUCUACAAUCCUUUCCUUUGUACCCUGUGUUUCUAACCUAGAUGGGCUACCCCUAUACUGUUAGAAGAGAGCAGUAUAGACUUGAUCCUUGGUAUGUCAUGGUUAAGAAAGGCAAAGACAGUUUAUACACUGUGCUAAGGGAACCAUAGAACUCACCAGUUCCAAAGGAGAAAGAUUUGAAGUUGGAAUUGCAGUAACUACUGCCACCAGACUAGCGGCAUUCUUAGUAGAUAGGAAGUUUGUUGGUGUCAACAUCCGUGUGGUUAGAGAUUUUUCGGAUGUCUUCCCAGAAGAGUCACCAGGGAUGCCACCAUAUAGGGAAAUUGAGUUUGUCAUUGCUCUCUUACCUGGGACUGCUCCUAUUUCUAAACGGCCAUACAUGAUGUCCGUAGAAGAGCUAAAGGAACUUAAGAAGCAGUUAACGGAAUUAUAGGAUGCUGGGUACAUUCGUCCAAGUUCUUCACCUUGUGGAGCGCCAGUUCUAUUUAUACAAAAGAAAGAUGGGUCACAAGGGAUGUGCGUGGAUUAUAGGACCCUUAAUGAUGUCACUGUGAAGAACAAGUAUCCAUUACCCCGCAUUGAAGAUUUAUUUGAUCAGAUGAAAGGUGCAAGAGUAUUCUCGAAGAUUAAUCUUCGAUCGGGUUACCAUCAAAUGAAGAUUAGGCCAUUGGAUAUUCCCAAGACGGAUUCCUCGACCCGAUAUGGUUUAUAUGAGUUCACCAUUAUGUCAUUUGGACUAACUAGUGCACCAACCUAUUUUAUGGAUCUGAAGAAUAAGGUGUUCAUGAUCUAGACAGAUUCGUCAUGGUUUUCAUCGACGAUAUUUUUAUUUAUUCCAAGAGUGAUAGUGAUCAUGAGGAACAUCUGAGAUUGGUGCUACAAAAGAUAAGGGAUAAUCAACUCUACGCCAAGUAUAGCAAAUGCGAGUUUUGGAUUGGCGAGGUGCCAUUCCUUGGACAUAUCAUUUCUAAUGGAGGGAUAUCAGUGGAUCCUGCUAAAGUCAAGGAGAUAGUGGCGUGGAUCAUACCCACUAUAGUUACUGAGGUCCGGAGUUUCUUGGGACUUGCAGGAUAUUAUUGGAGAUUUAUUGAAGGACUUUCUAAGAUCGCUAAGCCUAUGACCUCACUUCUAGAGAAGGGAAGAGAGUUUAAGUGGGAUGAGAAGUACCAAGACAGCUUUAAUCAACUAAAGAAGAGGUUAAUGUCACCAGUAUUGGUUAUACCGGAUCUACAGAAGGGAUUUGACAUUUAUUGUGAUGCAUGUGACCAAGGCUUGGGAUGUGUGCUCAUGCAAGAAGGACAUGUGAUCGCCUACGCGUCUCGUCAGUUGCGGAAACAUGAAUUGAACUACCCCACGCAUGACUUAGAACUGGCAGCCAUUGCGCAUGCGCUUAAGAUUUGGAGACAUUAUAUUAUGGGAACCAAGUGUCAAGUAUGCACGGAUCAUAAGAGUUUGAAGUACACAUUUUUCACUCAGAAGAAUCUCAACCUUAGGCAAUGUCGUUGGUUGGAGCUUAUUAAGGAUUAUGAUUUUGAGAUUCACUAUCACCCGGGCAAGGCGAAUUUGGUUACAGAUGCCUUGAGUCAAAAGGAGCAUGUUCAUUCAGCUGUUGUUGCCCAGCUACCCGAUGAGAUUGUUGAGGAUUUCAGGAGACUUAACCUGGGGAUAGUUGCUCACACUGAAGGAGUUAUUAUUGAUGUGGAACCUACUUUGGAGAAAGAAAUCCGUAAAGGACAAAUUGGUGAUGCUAAGAUACAAGAGAUUAAGGAUCUGAUUACUGAAGGUCGAGGUUCGGAAUUCACGGAAGAUGAGCAAGGCACCAUAUGGUUCAAGGAUAGGAUAUGUGUUCCUAAUAUUGAAAGCCUUCGUGAGAUUAUUUUAAAGGAAACCCAUGACUCGGAUUAUUCUAUUCAUCCUAGGAGUACCAAGAUGUAUCAGGAUUUGAAGUAGAAAGUUCUGGUGGUAUGGAUUGAAGAGAGAUGUGGUGCACAUGUGGUUAUGUGCGAUGUGUCAAAGAGUUAAGGCAGAACACCAAAGACCAACUGGACUAUUAUACCCAUUAAAGAUACCCGAAUGGAAGUGGGAAGAGAUUGGUAUAAACUUUAUUACUGGAUUGCCUCGCACCCCGAGAGGAUAUGAUUCGAUAUGGGUUAUUGUGGAUAGAUUGAACAAAGUGGCUCAUUUCAUUCCGAUCAAGACUACUUAUAAGAUAUCUCAAUUGUUAGAGUUAUAUAUGUUUCGGAUUAUGUCUCUACACAGUGUACCGAAGAAGAUCGUUUCGGAUAGAGGACCACAGUUCACCUCUAGACUUUGGAAAAGUUUUCAUGAGAAUUUGGAUACGAAUUUGAAGUUUAGUUUGGCUUACCAUCCUCAGACUGAUGGACAGACUGAAAGAACUAAUCAAGUAUUGGAGGACAUGUUGAGAGCUUGUGCCCUUCAGCAUGGUAGUAGUUGGGACAAGAGUCUACCUUGUGCUGAGUUCUCAUAUAAUAAUAGUUACCAGGCCAGUCUAAAGAUGUCACCUUUCGAGACUCUGUAUGGCAGGAAAUGCAGGACUCCUCUAUAUUGGGAUAAGACUAGAGGAAGACAAUUCUUUGGACCUGAACUUAUUCAAGAGGUAGAAGAUCAAGUCUGUAUAAUCAAGGAGAACUUGAGGGUAGCUCAGACCAGGCAAAAGAGUUACGCUGAUAAUAGAAGAAGACCACUAGAAUUUGAGGAAGGUGAUCAUGUGUACCUCAAGGUGUCACCACUUCGUGGAAUGAGGAGAUUCAAAAUUAAGGGAAAAUUGUCCCCUCACUUUAUUGGACCCUUUAGAGGUUUUAGGCAAGUUGGAGAGAUGGCCUAUCAACUCGAGCGGCCUGAUAAUCUAUCUGAUGUGCAUGAUGUAUUCCUUGUGUCUCAACUUAAGAAGUGUCUCCGUGUCCCUGAGGAACAGUUACCAAUGGAAGAGCUCAGUGUUCAUGGUGGUUUGACUUACACGGAGUACCCUAUCAAGAUUCUUGACACUUUGGCUCGAGUUACAAGAAAUAAGGUUAUAAAGAUGUACAAUGUACAAUGGAGUCACCAUGGAGAAGAUGAAGCAACAUAGGAAAGAGAAGAAGAGCAUCACACAUAUUUUCUCCAUUUUUCCCUAGUCCUUUCUAAAUCUCGAGGACGAGAUUCUUGUUAAGAGGGGUAGGAUUUGUAAUACCCAAAAGUAUAUAAUGAAAAUAUAGUGGAAUUACAUAUAUGUUUUUGCCCUGGUUAUUAUGACAUGUGAACAACAUAUUUAAAAGUGGACAACUAAAUAAAAGACACAUAAAUAACUCAUGCAUCAUGCUGGAGUUUAUUUUAUUGCGCAUCUAUAAAUAAUAAAAAUUAUAAUAUCAAAAACAAUACAUUGAUAUACAAACUAGAAUUUAAAACCUAAAUGGGGGGCAAAACUUUGGAGAAAGAGAAGAGAAUACCGCAUAAAAUAAAGGAUAUAUAUAUAUAUUCUUCUUAUCAUAAGAUUUGAAUUUUGUACGUUGAUAUACGUGCAAGUCACAACCAAAUUUAAAUUCGAAAUUCAAAAUCUAAAAUGAAAAAAUAAUAAAAAAAGAAAGAAGAAAGAACCUAAAUGGGCCCAAACCUUCCCCUUGGCCCACCGGCUCCUCGCGUCCACCAAGCCGUCGGGCUGCGCACAAAUAGCGGGACCGUUGCAACCACCGUGGCUUCCCUGGGAUAUUUACGCAGUGCGCCCAACGAUUCUUCCCCUCUCCUUUAUGUCGUGAUCUCAAAGCAAAUUGCGGGGUCCCUAGCUGCCGCCGUGUGCAUCUGCGUCGUGAGGAGAGAGAGGGUAAGGGAUAGAAAAUCUAUGUCACCGUUGUGGUUCUGCUCGUUCGCCGUCGCCAUAACAGUAACUCCCGGCCGCUAGUGGUCCCUGGAUCCUCCGCGAGCUGCCUCUGCCACACGUCAACUACGAUAAUGCGGUCGCCAUGGCGCGCCCGCGCCACCGUCUCCACGGCUGUUUCCAAUCUGCUCGACCGAUUGGUAGACGGCUGGGGGAGCAUCUUCUCCGGGGGACACCGCGCGUCGUGGAGCCUUGCCGAAGUUCAGGGACGUCUGGGGAUGGCGUAAUUGCUUGUCGUGGUUUAUGCAUCGCCGCGGGGUUGCUGGGAUUGGUGGUCUUCGCACUCCAACGCAUCAACCGCAGGUAUUGCUCUAUCCAUCUAGUUCGCACUCGACUCUAGAUCGUGUAGCACCUGAGUUUGUGGAGUCUGGGGCAUGGAAACAACGUUGGGGCGUGGGCCGGUGUGACCUCAGCCGCGGGCGAUGGCCGUCCGUCGUGGCUGGCUGUCGGAGGGUAGAAGGAGAGUCCUUGGCGGUCGGUUUCUUGAUGGACGGCUCGGAUUCAACCAGAGCCAUACCGGUUGGGUGGAUAAUUCGCAGCCCCUGGAUCGUGAUCCUGCGGCUCGGGAUGGAAUCGCUCGUGAUUAAGUGCCCACCGUUGAUCUUUGAUCUUGUGGACUGGAAUGCGUACCGGUUCAAUUGGGGUGGGGAUCUAAUCUGGACCAUCUGGGUCAGAUCUUAUGGCCCUGUGUAACCCAUACCCCUUCGGCCUGUGUUUUUAUAAAACGAACCCUAGAAAACCUAGGAAUCAACAUGUCUUUCAAUGCAGCAGCCCUCUGUGUCUGUGGAAUCUUGCGCCAGACCCCCUGCACUUUCCAGAAAUCGAGGCCCAGUCCAGAGUGGAUUAAAAAUAGUGAAAUAAUAUUUGAAAUUCGUUUUUAAUACAAAAACAAAUCUAGAAACUUGUAAAAUGCAUAAAAAAUUCAUUUUAGCUCCAAAUUGAACCAUUCCAAUUCCUAUAAUUUUGUAAUAUUAAUGUCUAUCAUUUAGUGUCUCUGUUUUUACAUGAAAACAGUAAGAAAAUUAAUUUCUCAUUUAAUCCUAUUUCAAGCACAUUAAACCUUAGGAAAUUCAUAACUUGAAAUGUAUAACUCCAAAUUUAAUGAUUCCAGUUCCUAUGAUCUCAUUUUAAUGUGUAGAUUUUUAUUGUAUAUUUUAUUUCUCUGUUUGAUGUGAUGUUAAUUUAUGCUAUACUAUAUAUGUAUUGUGUUGAUGCGAGUAGACGAGCAAGCCACUGUGGAAUCUGAGGUUCAGCAAGUAGAAGUAGCUGAGCAGGAGCUCAUUGAAGGCAAGUUGUGCCCUUGAUUACUUACUUUUUCCCAGCCAUGUUCUUAUUAAUUAUAAUGAUCUGCAUAGGUUAAUUUUGAUGGGACCCAAUAGGUUACCCUAGAUUUGACUAUCUUUAUACCUUAUUUCACCACUGGUUUUACUACUAAAUUUUUGGGUAGUACAUGUUAUUGCUUUAUGUGGUUUUGGGUAUAGAGAUAUUUAUUACUCAUGAUUACAUUUUUAUUAUUUGUUUAUUAUUACUGUUCAUGUUAAGAUCAUUAUGUUAAUGGGAACAUGGAGCGACCACCCGGGAAAACAGUGCUACCACAAGGGUUUAAUGGGACGCCCUUGGCUGAUUAACUAGGAAAGCUAGGGGAGGUCUUCCUUACCCGAAAGGGGCAAGGGCAGUAGGGGAGUGGUCAGUGUAGGGAGGUCCUUGGGUUGAUUUUGCUGCGAUGGCGGUCAGGCGAGGGAUUCCUGCACUGGAGCUUCCUAUAAACUUUAGCGGGAUUUCUAAAGCUAGUGGAACUUUGUAAAGGCCUCGUAGUGUUACCCUGCCUCGCCUCCUCGGUAGAGGUGUAUGGGAUUGGCCGUCUCUUGGCAAAUGGGUAACAUGACUUGUGGGUAAAGAUGUGCAACCUCUGCAGAGUGUAAAACUAGUAUACUAGCUGUGCUCACGGUCAUGAGCGGCUCGGACCCUCACAUGAUUAAUUUAUGGAACUUAAAUUUAAUUUAACAUUUUGCAUCGCAUUUGUUAUUAUUUUACUAUUACUUUUCUUUAUUAUUAUUAAGGUUUGGUAUUUACUUACACUUAGUAAUUGCUAAUAAAAUUUUGACCAACUUAUAAAAGCAAUGCUCAGCUUCAGCCUUUAUUUCAUUGAUCAGCCUUACACUUCAUGAACUCCCACCUUUGGUGAGUUCAUGCCACAUUAUUCCCCAUGACUUGUUGAGCUAUGAACGUAUGUGAGCUCACUCUUGCUGUCUCACACCCCCCACAGGAGAAGAACAGGUGGUCGAAGAUGAGUCGCCUAACACUGAUGCAUUCGACUUGAUCUAGGUGGCGUCUCCCAGUCAGCUUUCUGGCGCCAAGGAUAGAUUUUAGUUCCUGCUAUAUUUAUCAUUUAUUUUUGUAAGUCUUCCGCUAUGUAAUAAGUACUCUAAUUUUACUGUGACAUUUAUCUCUAUGCACUCUGUUAUUAUAUAUGUUGUCUUCUUUGGCGCAUGUAUGAGAUGCACCCGGAUUUGUCCCUUAAAUCCGGAUGUGACACAAACUUAGGAGUGUAUACUAAAUAUCUCAUGAUUCUUUUCACAGCCCUAAGGUGAACUUCCUUAGGAUCGGCUUGGAACCUUGCACACAUGCAUACGGAAAGCAUAAUAUCCGGUCAAGAUGCACAUAAAUACAGUAAAGAUCCUAUCAUCGACCGGUAUACCUUUUGAUCUACGGAUUUACCUCCCGUGUCGAGGUCGAGAUGCCCAUUGGUUCCCAUGGUUGUCUUGAUGGGUUUGCCGUCCUUAAUCCCAAACUUCUUAAGUAUAUCUUGAAUGUACUUUGUUUGACAGAUGAAGGUGCCUUCUUGGAGUUGCUUGAUUUGAAAUCUAAGGAAAUACUUCAACUCCCCCAUCAUCGACAUCUCUAAUUUCUGUACCAUGAUCCUACUAAACUCUUCACAAGUAGAUUUGUUAGUAGACCCAAAUACGAUAUCAUCAACAUAAAUUUGGUAUACAAACAAAUCUUUUGCAACAGUUUUAGUAAAGAGUGUAGGAUUGGCUUUACCGACUUUGAAGCCAUUAGUGAUAAGGAAAUCUCGCAGGCAUUCAUACCAUGCUCUUGGGGCUUGCUUGAGCCCAUAAAGCGCCUUUGAUAGUUUGUAGACAUGGUUAGGGUACUCACUAUCUUCAAAGCCAGGAGGUUGCUCAACAUAGACCUCUUCCUUGAUUGGUCCAUUGAGGAAUGCACUUUUCACGUCCAUUUGAUAAAGCUUAAAGCCAUGGUAAGUAGCAUAGGCAAGUAAUAUGCGAAUUGACUCAAGCCUAGCUACGGGUGCAUAAGUUUCAUCAAAAUCCAAACCUUCGACUUGUGAAUAACCUUUGGCCACAAGUCGGGCUUUGUUCCUUGUCACCACACCAUGCUCAACUUGCUUUUUGCGGAAUACCCAUUUGGUACCUACAACAUUUUGAUUAGGACGUGGAACUAAGUGUCAUACCUCAUUCCUCGUGAAGUUGUUGAGUUCCUCUUGCAUUGCCAGCACCCAAUCUGGAUCUCUUAGUGCAUCCUCAAUCCUGUAUGGCUCAAUAGAGGACACAAAAGAGUAAUGUUCACAGAAAUGAGCAACUCGAGAUCUAGUAGUUACCCCCUUAUGGAUGUCACCAAGUAUGGAGUUGACGGGGUGAUCUCGUUGAAUUGCUUGGUGGACUCUUGGGUGUGGCGGUCUUUGACCCUGAUCAUCUUCCUUGUCUUGAUUAGUAUCAUCUCCCCUUGAUCAUUGUCCUCCUCUUGAGGUGGCUCAUCCUCUUGAUCUUCUUCUUCAUCAUUUUGAGCAUGUUCCUCAUCUUGAGUUGGUGGAGAUGCUUCCAUGGAAGACGAUGGUUGAUCUUGUGCUUGUGGAGGCUCUUCGGAUUCCUUAGGACACACAUCCCCAAUGGACAUGUUCCUUAGCGCGACGCACGGAGCCUCUUCAUCAUCUAGUUCAUCAAGAUCAACUUGCUCCACUUGGGAGCCAUUAGUCUCAUCAAACACAAUGUCACAAGAAACUUCAACUAAUCCAGUGAAUUUGUUGAAGACUCUAUAUGCCCUUGUGUUUGAGUCAUAUCCUAGUAAAAAGCCUUCUACAGCCUUAGGAGCAAAUUUAUAUUUUCUACCUCUUUUAAUAAGAAUAAAACAUUUGCUACCAAAGGCUCUAAAAUAUGAAACAUUGGGCUUUUUACCGGUGAGGAGUUCAUAUGAUGUCUUCUUGAGGAUUCGGUGAAGGUAGAGCCGGUUGAUGGAAUAGCAGGCGGUGUUAAUCGCCUCAGCCCAAAACCGGUUCAGAGUCUUGUACUCAUCAAGCAUGGUUCUUGCCAUGUCCAGUAAAGUUCUAUUCUUCCUCUCCACUACACCAUUUUGUUGAGGUGUAUAGGGAGAAGAGAACUCAUGCUUGAUGCCCUCAUCCUCAAGGAAGCCUUCGAUUUGUGAGUUCUUGAACUCCAUCCCAUUAUCGCUUCUUAUUUUCUUGAUCCUUAAUCCGAACUCAUUUUGAGCCCGUCUUAAGAAUCCCUUUAAGGUCUCUUGGGUUUGUGAUUUUUCCUGCAAAAAGAAUACCCAAGUGAAGCAAGAAUAGUCAUCCAUAAUUACAAGACAAUACUUACUCCCGUUGAUGCUUAUGUAAGCGAUCAGGCCAAAUAAAUCCAUGUGGAGUAGCUUAAGCGGCAUGUCGGUCGUCAUGAUGUUCUUGUGUGGAUGAUGGGCGCCAACUUGCUUUCCUGCUUGACAUGCGCUACAAACCCUGUAUUUCUCAAAAUGAACAUUUGUUAGUCCUAAAAUAUGCUCUCCCUUUAGAAGCUUGUGAAGAUUCUUCAUUCCAACAUGGGCUAGUCGGCGAUGCCAGAGCCAACCCAUAUUAGUCUUAGCAAUUAAACAAGUGUUGAGUUCAGCUGUGUUCUCAUUAAAAUCAACUAAAUAUAGCUAACCCUCUAACACUCCCUUAAAUGCUAUUGAAUCAUCACUUCUUCUAAAGAUAGUAACACCUAUAUCAGUAAAAAGACAAUUGUAGCCCAUUUUACAUAAUUGAGAUACAGAAAGCAAGUUGUAAUCUAAAAAAUCUACAAGAAAAAUGUUGGAAAUAGAAUGGUCAGGUGAUAUAGCAAUUUUACCCAAACCUUUGACCAAUCCUUGAUUUCCAUCCCUGAAUGUGAUAGCUCGUUGGGGAUCUUCAUUUUUCUCGUAGGAGGAGAACAUUCCUUUCUCCCUUGUUGUGUGGUUUGUGUAUCCGCUAUCAAUUAUCCAACUUGAGCCCCCAGAUGCAUAAACCUGCAAAACAAUUUAGGCCUUGUUCUUAGGUACCCAAACAGUCUUGGAUCCUUUCACGUUAGAAACAAGCACCUUGGGUACCCAAACACAAGUCUUGGAGCCCUUGUGUUUGCCUCCAACAUAUUUGGCAACUAUUUUGCCUGAUUUGUUAGUGAGCACAUAAGAAGCAUCAAAAGUUUUGAAUGAAAUAUUAUGAUCAUUUGAUGCAGUAGGAGUUUUCUUUUUAGGUAAUUUAACAUGAGUUGAUUGCCUAGAGCUAGAAGCCUCAUUCUUAUACAUAAAAGCAUGAUGUAAAACAGUAUGAGGUUUCCUAGCAUGAAUCCUCCUAAUUUUGUGCUCACGAUAAUUAGAAGGAUAUAAAAUAUAGCCCUCAUUAUUAUCCUGAACCAUGGGAGCUUUGCCCUUAACAAAGUUAGACAAUUUCUUAGGGGCAUUAAGCUUGACAUUGCUUCCUUGUUGGAAACCAAUGCCAUCCUUAAUGUCAGGGCAUCUCCCAUUAUAGAGCAUGCUUCUAGCAAAUUUAAACUUUUUAUUUUCUAUUUCAUGCUCAUUGAUUUUAGCUGUUAAUUGAGCUAUAUGAUCAUUUUGUUGUUUAAUUAAAGCAAGGUGAUCAUUUAUAGCAUCAAUAUUAACAUCUCUACAUCUAGUGCAAAUAGAAACAUGAUCAACAGUGGAUGUAGAGGGUUUGCAAACAUUUAAUUCUUCUAUCUUAGCAAGUAAUAUGGCAUUCUCAUUUCUAAGACAGGAAAUAGAAUAAUUGCAAACAUUUAACUCUCUAGCCUUGGAAAUUAAACUAGCAUUUUCGGUCCUAAGGCUAGAAAUUGAUUCAUUCAAUUUAUCAACCUUAGCAUUUAAACUAGCAUUUUUAUUUCUAAGAUUGAUAAUUGAAUCAUGGCAAAUGCUAAGCUCCUUAGUCAAGUUUUCACAUUUUUCUACUUCCUGAGCAUAAGCAUUUUUUACUUUAAUAUGCUUUUUGUUUUCUUUAAUAAGGAAUUCCUCUUGGCUGUCCAAGAGUUCAUCCUUCUCAUGAAUGGCACCUAUCAAUUCAUUUAAUUUUUCUUUUUGUUGCAUGUUAAGGUUGGCAAAAAGAGUAAGCAAAUCAUCUUCAUCUUCACUAGAACUACCCUCAUCACUAGAUGUAGUAUACUUGGGGGUGGUUCUAGAUUGUACCUUCUUCUUUUUGUCGUCCUUUGCCAUGAAGCACUUAUGGCCGACGUUGGGAAAGAGGAGGCCUUUGUUGACGGCGAUGUUGGCGGCAUCCUCGUCGGAGGAGGAGUCAGUGGAGCUCUCAUCGGAGUCCCAUUCCCGACAUACGUGGGCAUCACCGCCCUUCUUCUUGUAGUAUCUCUUCUUCUCCUUCUUCCCCCUCUUGUCGUCGCCCUGUCACUAUCACUAGACAUAGGACAUUUAGCAAUAAAAUGACCGGGCUUACCACAUUUGUAGCACACCCUCUUGGAGCGGGGUUUGUAGUCCUUCCCCCUCCUUUGCUUGAGGAUUUGGCGAAAGCUCUUGAUGAUGAGCGCCAUCUCCUCGUUGUCGAGCUUGGAGGCGUCGAUGGGGAGCCUAAUUGAUAUAGACUCUUCUUUCUUUUCUUCCGUCACUUUGAAUGCGACGGGUUGCACCUCGGGUGUUGAGGUGCACUAGUAAGAAUGUGAUCAUCAGUGACGAUUUUCUCGUGACGCUCGUGACUUUAGUCACAGAUUGAUACAUUUCUUUGACCAAAUUUACAUCUUCGUCAACAAUUACAAGUGACGAAGAUUAGACUUGAAUAUUAAUGACGAAAAUGAAAGGAUCGUCAUAGACACAAAUUUUGGACGCAACAAUUUCGUCACAGAUUAGAUUUGAUAUCGUCAUCGCUAAUUUGCCAUGUUUGGCUGACGUAAUGAUGAAAUAAAUUGGUCACAGAUGAGUUUUAGUAAAAAACGCCCCACGUGUACAGCACUUGACGGCGUGGGAUCCUUGGCCUACAUGGGCCGCAUUUUUUUGGUAAAGUGGGACACAGCCCCUGCCUGGCGACGCGGCCUCGGGCCACCAACUGGAAGUGGCGACGCGCGGCCCGACGACGCGUGUGCUAAGAUUUAUUUGGCAAAAAAAUUGCUCCCGCGGAGCUUCGAACUAGAGACUUGCGCCUUGCUUCGAAUCAGUGUUACCACUAGACUACUCGCUUGUUCUUAUAAAUAAAGAAAGUUAGAGUGCAUAAGUUGGUCAAUUGGGCCUAAUCAGAACAGAAUCAUUAGCGUAGUACCUGUUCCCAUCUGUCGUUCUAUUAAGGUGUUCCUAGCCGCCAUUCUGCGAUCUGCAUGGCUGUUCUGCUUCUGCCUUCUGCGAUCUGCGCUUCUACGUUAUAUGAUUGACGAUCUCAGUCUCGACCCUUAGGUUACGGCACACAACGACGCCGGUGUCGGUCGUCCGCUUGAUCGGCAACUGGGUAGCGUCGCAGCGAACGAGCGAUCUUGUCGCCUGAUCCAUUGAUGCAUUGAGUAAGUCCAUAAGUUUUGAUAGAUUAAUAAUUCAUCCAUUCAUCAAGAUGCAAAUUAAAUAAUUAUCUUUCAAGAUGCAAAUAGUAUGGUAAUUAUCUUUCAAUCACUGUUUCUUGCAAAUUUCAUAUUUCAUAUGUUUGGGCUCUAUUGUAAUCUAGUUUAAAAUUUUCAGUUAAUUAUUAAGUUUUAUGAUGCAUACCCUCCAAAAUCCUAGGUCCGCGGCAAAGCAGCGGCGUCGUGCGCAGAGCUACGGCGGGUGUGGACAGAACAGCGGCAGGGCGGGGAGAAAAGCCAGGGCGGGGAGAAAUGUUAUGAUCAUUUGAUGCAACAGGAGAUUUCUUUUGAACCCUAACUUAGAUCUUUUUAUUGGUUUGUGUUGAACCUUUAGCACCUGUAGGAUAUAUAAUCUAGAGCAAACUAGUUAGUCUAAUUAUUUGUGUUGGGCAUUUCAACUACCAAAAUCAUUUAGGAAAAGGUUUGACCCUAUUUCCCUUUCACAUACAGUGAUGUUGCAGGCACUCACGAGGUUGCUAACGAGAGGUAGGCCCCAAGAGAGACAAAUCUUGAUGUGAUCCUUCACUAGCACAUGUAACUCCAUUAAAUAAAUUGGUUAACCAAAACUAGAUUAAAAAUUGAACUACUAUCUAAAUAUUAGGAACUACUAUCUAAUCCAUAACCAGAACCUUUCUACUCUCUCAUUCUAUUUUUAUUUCUCUGUCCCAGUGACUAUCCAAACGUCACCAAAAUCGAUAUAGCCCAUGUCCCAUAGCAAGCAAAAAAAGCCCAACCUAACCACACAUUCCAUCCAACAGAUCGUGCGCGGCCUCUCAUUCUACCGAGUGCUCCAUUCUACCACCAGCCGCCUCCACUCGCUCUCCCACACAGAAAACCCUAGCCGCCGCCACCGAAGCGCCCUCCCAGGUAAGCUGGAGCGUCCAUCCCACCGCCGCCAUGAAGCACAAUCCCCGCGUCACAAGCUCCCGCCUGAAGUGCCGCAAGGCGCACUCACGGCCCCGUCCUCCGUCCGCUGCGUUCUCAUGUCCGCCGGGCUGUCGACGGAGCUCCGCCACAAGUACAACGUGUGCUCCAUCCCGAUCCGCAAGGACGACGAGGUGCAGGUCGUGCGCGGCACCUACAAGGGCCAUGAGGGGAAGAUGGUGCAGGUGUACCGCCGCCGCUGGGUCAUCCACGUCGAGCGGAUCACCCGCGAGAAGGUGAACGGCUCUGUGCCUGGAUGAGCGAUCAUCCAAGAGAUCGACUAGGCUCUUCACGGUCAUCUGAUGGUUGCGUACCGCCUUUUCCUCAUCUCUUUAGUUUUUGCUACCAAUGAUUAUGUGAUAGAGGUUUUAUGUUAUUUGAAAACUGCUCUAUGCCUGGAUGAGAGUUUUGGAACAUAAUGUGAACCUGUGUGUCUGUUAUCUGAGCUUUGAAGAUCUGAAUAUGUGGUUAAUGUCUCCUUGUAGUAUCUUCUAAAUGAUUGCUGUGAUUUGUCUUCACUCUAUUGUCUGUCUGAUGCAUGUAGUGCUUUUUGCUAAUUUUAUAUUACAGUCUAUUAAAUUAGCUUGAAUUAUUGUUUGUAGGAUGUAUUUCGAAUUAUCUACCUGUGGGGAAACAAUUUAUAUUAAUUGUCGAUCUAGUUAUUCUGAACGUUUUAAAUUUUCACAGCGAAUUUGAUCUGAGCAAAUUCUAUUGCAUUAUACUACUACCAACUGACAGUCUUCUGGAAAGGAACAUGAUAUCAGAGAUCAUUUGUGCCUAAAUCUCUGCAUUUUUACCUCUCCAAAGCAAAUGCCAACUGCAAUCAGUUUCUGUCAGUGUAGCAUUGGUUAUUAUUUCAUUAUAAACACCUUGUGUUAUAUGUCUUUCUCAAAUUAUUGCAAUAACUAACAAUUGGCAUCUUGUUGUUGCUUAUUAGCAUUAAUAUGUAACUGUUUCUGUCCAUGAUAUUUCAGUCUCAUAUGGAGGCUUUGAGGGCUGAACCUGUUGCUGAAGGUGAGAUGCCAGCAUCCAGUGUGCGCCUUGUGUCCAAGGUGCUGUGCUAGAGCAGCUCACACCAAUUCCUAAAGAGCAUUGGCAUCAAAACAUCGGCAUCCUCCAAGUCAGCAUCAUCAAAUCAAAGUGAGCUUCGGGAACAACUUGCAGCUGAAGCGACGGCUGCUGUUCAAGGUGAACUUGACCAGCUCAGGAAGAAAUGUGAAGUCAAGUGGUGAUGCUGUGAACUGAGUUUAGUGUUGUCCACUUAGUUUGUAUGCUCACUGGAAUAGUAGUUUUAUUCAUCUACGGAAUAUGGAAUUGUGUGCUCAUUAGUAUCUUUGCAAUUUCCAAUAAAAAUAUUCUCUGCACAUCUGUGACCAAACUGGUGGCAUAUAAUAAAACAUAUGCCACGUCAGCGUGGACGUCAGCUGCCACGUCACUAGCCACCUCAGCGCUGACGUCAUACGCCAUCGGGACCCUUCCAAACUGCUGUUAAUGACCAAAACACGACUCUAUCUAUGACGAUACCGUACCGUCAUAGAAAGCAAACGACGUUAACGACUCCAUCAGCUUGCCUGGGCAGACGACGGAUUAUGACAGAAAAGUGCCUUCCUCCAUGACCAAACCUGAUCGUCAUAGAAUGAAAUCACUUCCAUGACAACGCGUAUUUCGUCACAGAAUGGAUACACAUCGAUGACGAAAAUGGGUAGUCCGUCACAACACAACAAAUGUGACACGACCCCUAUGACCAAAUCAGAAUCGUCACAAAUUCGUCACAAAUCUUUAUCUGUGACGAUACCUGCAUAUUUCGUGACGCAAUACGAACGUCAUCGAUGAUAAGAUCUCUACUAGUGGUGGCGCCUUGCUCCAAAUUGACAAUGUGUUUGGAGUCUUUGAUCAUAAGUUCAAAGCUCACAAACUUGCCAAUUACUUCCUCGGGAGACAUCUGUUUAUAUCUAGGGUCUCCACGGAUUAGUUGCACUUGAGUGGGAUUACAAAAAACAAGUGAUCUAAGAAUAACCUUGACCAUUUCUGUGACACCCCAGUGUCACCUAGGGUUUCUCUCAAAAUGCUAACCCAAGAACCAUCAUUUUAUGUGAACCAAAUUGAGCAUGAGCAUCAAAUUGACUUAAGAGUGAAGAACCCACCAAGCCUAUACUUAAAAGUAUCAUGAUCAAAACAAAUGGGUCUUUCAAAAAGGGUAAUAAUGUUGCAACCCUAAUAAAAACCCUAAGUGAGCCCUAUGAGCAAAAUUCAAGAAAAUGGGGAAAAGGGUAUGAAAUAUUUAAAAUCAUGGCUUGGGCCAAUUAUAAACAUUGAAGUAUAUUCAUUAAGCAACAAGAAAGAUUGAGGAAGCUUGGCCAAAAUAACUCAAUUAAAACCCCAAAACAAGCUUCUCAUGUGGGGACUCAAUGGGGAAUUCUGAAUUUCAGAAUUCUGAAUUUCAGACCUUGAGCCAAAGAUCAAGUGUGUUCACCUUGAUCCCUAACUCAAAUCCUAAUGGCCCCAUUAACAAAAAUGUGCCUAACUAACCCCUCUAUCGUGUGCCAGAAGAUGGCAUUGGGACGCGAGCCCUAGACACGACAAAACCCUGGAUUUGCCUCGGGUUUGAGCAGGGAGACAGACCGGAUUUUCGGGCUCCAUAUCUCUGCAACCAGUAGGCAAAAUCCUAUGACCCCCACACAAGAUCGGUAGCUUGUAGGGAGGAGAAGAGGUUUUGUGCACUGACCAAGGCGAGAGCAGGCUUGGAUGAGCGACCACACGCGCCAGAACUAGGGCAGAACGAACGGGCACACGUGUUCGACCAUGGUCGGCACGCCGGCGCUCGCCCAACCCGCGCGCGCGCUCGCCCCGGUGUUCGGUCAAGUCCGCCGCGCGCCCUUGCCCUCGGUCGUGCCCGCCCGCGCCUAUAAAGCCUCCCCGGGCGCGCCUCACUUUACCCCGCGCUCACCAUCACCGGCCAACCACCCCUCCUUAGCUCCGACGAGCUCUUUUCCGCCCGCCACUGCCGCCAGAGCCUCGGCCACCGUGGCCAGCCCACUCCAGCCACCCCCAAGUCGCGCCAGUGCUUCGGCUAGGUCCGCCAGUGGCCCGUGAAGCUUUCCAAGCCCUCGGACCCGGCAGAACUUCACCGGAAGCCCGAAAUCGACUUCACCAGACUUCGGUCGCCUGCCUGUGCGCGUGGACCAAGCUCUCCGGUGAGCCAUUCUUCAAUUCCUCGCACACACCCCUUCCUUGUUCCCUAGUGAAGCUCUCUGACCCGUUCAAUUGAACUAUCGCGCCGUGAGUAGGCCGGACUCCUCGCCGCCGACGAGCAUCUCCGCCUGCGCACGUGGACCGACCGACUCCGACCACCCCCGACGGCGACCCGCACAUCGCUGUGAUCCCCGAGACCUCCCCUACAUCCUCGACCACCUCACCGGAGCAAUCUCGCCGCCGGUAAGCCCCUCCGCACUUUCUUCCGCCGCGGUUACUGUUUAAGUUAGGAGAAGGACCUCGGGUUAGGAGUAGAAGAACCCGGGGGGUUUUCUGCAAUGUCAGUGACUCAUUUGAAUAGUAGCCCAGGGACUGAUCCGUGAGGAAAACUUAAAACACCCGCCAGGGACCCCAGUGCAAAGUAGUUUUCCAUUUAAUCAAUUCUGUUAAUCUUUUUAAAUAACAUGAGAACUUAGAAAAUCCAUAACUUGAUGAAUUCUUAAUCAAAAGUUGUCAAACUAAUUUUGCUAGGUCCUCAAUAUUAUGAACUAUCAUUUAAAAAUAAUAAACCCUAUGCUUUCUGUUCUAAUUUUUAGAGUUUAAAAUUAAAAACAGAAACUGACCAAACCUUGUUUAAUUAAGGAAAAUUAGUUUUUCUUCUGUACUGAGCCUAAGAAAAAUUGUAGGUGUUCAAACCUCAUUUAGACACUGUUUAAAAAUAGUGGGAACCCCAGUAUUGAAGAAUAUAGUGUAGAUAUUCAUUUAAAGUUGUUUUGCCCAAAACUUAGGAAAAAUCAGAAAGGCAUUAUAAAUUAAUGAACAGUGAGUGAAAUUAUUUUUCUUAGUUUGCUUAAGUAACAGAAAACCUAGGAAAAAUAAAGAGACCUUCAGUCCAGAUCAGUUUUAAAAUAAAAUGUUUUAUUUAGCAUUAUUCCAACUGGAAAUUAAUUAUUAGAAUUACAAAACCAGACCCAAAAUUUAUAAUAAAAAUCCAGUGGACUUAAAACCACCAGAACCCCACUGCAAAAAUAAUGAACAUCUCAACCCAACAUUUUAAGUAGGGUAAAUAAAUCUAACAUGAUAAUAAGGCAUUUUCCAAAUAAAUCAUGAAUAACCCAUAAUAAUGCAAUAAUGGGCAACCAAAAUUUUGCUAAGUCAAUGAUGAUAUAAGCCACCAGAGAAAAAUGCAGAUCCAUUAAAAAGAUACAAAAUAAUACCUAUUGCUAAUAUUUUAUAAGAAAGACCAUUUAAACCAAGUAAUGCAUACCACCCCUUCCCUUAAGCAAAAAGAUGCCAAACUUCAAAAUGAUUGCUCUUGCGCAAAAUAGAAGCUAAGAAAAAUCAGAAAUCGGUUGUUUGAUAUUUUUCAAAUAUAGUGGUAGUAGAAAGCACCUCUUUGGCUAGAAACUUGAGAAAACCCUAGUAAAAUAACUAAUAGGUAUUAAUGGCUAAAUUUUUGUGCCAAGUCAUGUUAUAGCACCUAAAAGCCAGCAAAAAUAAGUUUAAGAGAAUUACCUACUGUUAACUAAUAGUUGUAGUUCAAAGCACCCCUUCUGCCCUAGAACUUGGUAAUUUUGUCCAGAGAAAACUAUUCACUUUCUAAUCCCUAAAUUUUGAGACAGAGAAUUAUACACCAAUAAAAAGCCACUGUAAUUUUUGCAGAAGUUUUGGAAUUUUAUUAAGGCAACUUGUAGUUCAAACCCACUCCAAAAACUUAAGGAGAAUAAAGAAAAAGAAAGAAGAAAUAAACCUCGCUCCAAUGAGUCCAACUUGAAUUCAUGUCAAAACUCACUAUGGCUUUAAAAGAAUUCAGUGGAACCCCAAAAACAAACCUACCACUUACCUUAGCUAAGUUUGACCCAAUUUACCAAAAAUGCCACCCAAAGGUCUUACAUAAGUAAGGUGUAACUCUAUCUAACGCAAGUAGAUCAUGAAGUUGUAAUUUCUAAAGCACAUAUCAUGUCAUGCAUCUAUCUUACGCAUUGCAUUCAUUAGAUUGUAAUCUUGCCGACGGAGAGUACGUGCUCAUCCCUGAGCAAGGAUCUGUCCAAGAGGAGGACCAGGAGCAAGCUUCCGAGGCUGCUGUUGAGGAUCUCCCCGCAGCCCCAGCAAUUGAAGGCAAGCCCCAGUUUAUAUGCAUAACCAUAUUACUAUAUGCUACUUUACUACACUUAAUGCUUGUAGGAUUGUAAUGUGCACUUAAGUGUAGGAGUUGCUUGAAACCUCUAGUUGCAUGAACUUAGGAUUCCUUUUUGAGAUGAAUACUAGUAUGCUAGGUCGAGUAGCUGCUUUGCUAAUCAGGAUCUCGGUAGAAGUCGAGUGAUUUUUCUAGCACUCGUGCGAGGUCAGGAAUUGAUUGUAUUCAUCUUGAUAACGGGAUCUAUGUUAGUCUAUGGACUUGGGUCCAGGGAGGAUGCCUUGUCCAUGAGACGGGAAAAAGGAAUUAAGGAUUAAUGUGUGGAUACCUGAGUCAAGCUUUUGAACGUACUAAGCACAUGCCGGGAAAAAUGGUAACCAGUAAACCUAGUACCUGAGUGAAGCCGGGCGCGGACUUUAUCCCUCAUGCGACCUGAGACUGGGUCUCCCAUGCUAGCUAUGGUGGGUACAAGUGCGGUCACUGCACGGCUGCAGCCGGGGUCAGUGGAGCAUUGUAUGCCAAGGCGGUGAGGCCUGGACGCGAACGAGGAAUCGAUGGGGACGGUUGUCAUGUGUGGGGUCGGAGUACCCUGACAUGUCGUGUGUUUAGGUUUACCUUGCAAGGUUAAAACUCGAUUCGAAUCGUCUGCUUCUCGCAGCUAAUGAGACUGCUUGACCCCUUGUACUGCAUCGAGUAAGAAAUGAAAUGAGGUUACAUGAGAUAAUUUGUUGAUUGAACUAAAUGCUUGUUACCAUGUAUGCUUAGAAGGAGUAAACUUAGCUAAGUUAAUGAUGAUAGAAUUUGAAAAGCUAAAAAUUGAUUUUAGAAAUAGCUAGUGCUUUUGGCAAACCAAACCCCUCAACCAAACCGCUGCAUAGUCUAGAGGUAGAGGAGUAGACUCCUCACACCGGUUAAGUCUAGCUGAGUAUUAGUAUACUCAGCCUUGCUUGUGGCAUAAUUUUUGCAGGUACCAUUCAGGAAAUGGUUGAUGGUGUGACUUGGCCUACCACCCUGCCACCGGGUUGGACGGUCGAGUGGGAUGUUGCUCCGGCAGGAGAGGAGCACGAGGAGUAGUGGGCUAGGCCUUGCCCAUUUCCUCGAUACCGACGACAUCGAUUAUCCGCUGCAUUUUAUUUUGUGAACUCUUAUUUGCUACUCAAAAACUCCGAUCUAUGUAAUAAUUCAGCACUUAAUUUGAGGUUUCCUGUUUUAUUGUAUUUCUUCUGUGACUCACCUUCGAGUGAGAUUGUGGAAUUUGAUCCUGGUUAAGUGGCUCUAUCGGACUAUAUCUGAGGGACUGAUGGGUUAUUCCGAUUUAAGUGUGUUACGGCCCCUAAGGCGUGACUUAGGCACUUAAGCUGGAAUAAUUCAGGUGGUUCUGCCACAGCUGGUAUCGGAGCAAAUUCCACCACAGAGAAGGACAAUAAACCAUGAAUACCAAUUUUCAAAAUCUAAAACUUGCCUAGAAACUGCUACGAAUCGUCAGGACUAGACCGCUAGACCUAGGACGAAAGGCCUUAGGCAUAGAGGGAGAAAUAGGUGGCUAAUUAGUUAGGCCCCGUGGGCUAGUACUUCGACUUUUAAGGAUGCCCUAAGAGCACCCUAUUGUUUGGAGAGGAGACAUUACUUCCAGCAUGCAUGCAUUAUAAACACAAAGAGGAAUUAAAACUUGAGCUAACCCACUUCCUUUAAAAAAAGUCCGGGCUCUCUUUUUCUUUUUCCUUCCACCAUAAUCUUUACCUUUGAUUCCCUUCCGCAGAUGAAUUCACCCACCCCCGCCAGUGGAGGAGACACUCGUUUCAGUUCUGACUUCCUUUCUCACGAUGGCUUUCCUUCCAUCUUGUGGGAAGUGCUUAACUCCGCCGGUUACCCUACGCCCCCUUUGUAAACGGUGCAGUUGUAUGAGGAGCAUUGGGUACCUCGUUGUCGGGUCUGGCUGACUUUGGAGGCUCAUCCCCUUCAGCCAGGUUGGUGUUCUCUUGAUUCUGAGACAAUUGGACUCAGGACGGACGACACCGUUGAAGCAGCAGCCAUGAAGACUCUGACGACUUUCUGUGGCUACCAUCCCCUGGAGAUGGUGAUGCACCCCUUGGGACUCUUCCCUGCUGAGAAGAAGGAUGAUCCCAUGUGGUGUAACCGCGUGAGCCAUGUGAAGGAUGUGUGGGCAAUGUAUCCUGACUUGGUUGGGAGGGUCACCGUUCAGUGCAUGGGUGCGCUGUACUGCCUUCAGGCCCUUCAAAGCGAUGCUAUGGCACUCCUUGCUAACACCGCUCAAACCGCCAAGCUCACUCUCGAUAGUCGAGAAGAUUUUGUGGUCGAUCUAUCCACCGAGUUGGUAGAGAAGGAUCUGCAGGUGGAAAGGCUGAGCCAACGCAUUACCACCUUGGAGCAGCAGGUGGAGAUCCGAGACAACACCAUUGAUGUCUUGGAGAACCAGCUUCACGAUGUGUAGAGGGAACUCGAAGAAGCGAAUGACCACCUGGACAUGCACCACUUGGAGAUGGAGGCCAAUGAAGCCGGAAGCGAGGAAGAAGAGGCUCCCGAGGAGCUAGGACCAGCCCCUGGUGCCCAUGGGACUACCUCCGUGAUGCCUCCUUCACCCGUAUCCAGUGUCGCUUCCACCGCUCAGGGUUAAGCAGCCACUUCGACACUUUUAGGCGGAUAGAAACCUAUGCGAGCUUAGUUAAUAUCAGAUUUUGGACUAGGCUUACGGGUACUUUCCCCUGAUUGAUGUAACCCUGUGAACUUUUGAAAUCUAUGGGAUGUUUGUCACCAUGUUAUCUUCAUUUCGAACCUAAUAUUAUGAUUAUGGCAUUUUUCCUUCCAUAUGAGAUGAUAUCUUGUCGUUCGAAACUGUGAGAUGGGAUAACAAUGGCGGCAAUCUCUGUUUUCAUAUGGCAGCUAGGCAGCGUCGCGGGCAUAACGAGCAGGUUCCCCCGCCACCUCCUCCAGCUCCCACAGUGCAGGAGCUGAUGGCCCAGCAGAAUGAGAUUCUGCGACAGCUCUUGCAGCACCAGCCCCACCCUCAGCAGCAUGGUGGAGGCCAGCAUCAGUGACCUCCGGUAAUGGCAACCUACCAGGAGUUUCUGAGCACGCAACCACCCUUGUUCACCAAGGCAGAGGAUCCGUUGGACACCGACGUGUGGCUCCGCGUCGUUGAGUCCAAGUUUCCCCUCCUCACGGGAGAUUGCCCUGAUGAAGCCAAGGCUCGCUUCGCCGCACAGCAGCUUCGCGGCCCUGCUCGGACUUGGUGGGACCACUUCCGUGCUAUGCUCCCCAAUGAUCGUGAAGUAUCUUGGGAGGAAUUCAAGACUGCCUUCAGAGGACACCACAUCCCAGCUGGCAUUCUUGAUCGGAAGCUGAAUGAAUUUCUGGCACUUAAUCAAGGAACCCGCACGGUACUGCAGUAUGCGCAAGCCUUCAACGACUUAUGCCAGUAUGCAGGGUACCAUGCUGAUUCUGAUGAAAAGAAGAGAGACCGCUUCCGCAGGGGUCUCAAUACCAAGCUGCGGGAACGACUCAACACUGUCCGGGCUGAUAGCUUCAAUGAGUUGGUCAACAUGGCCAUCUCCCAGGAGGAUUGCAUUGUAGCUCACCGGGCAGAGAAGAAGAGAAAGGCACCAAUGGCAGCACCUUCCGCUCAGGCUCAGAGGUUCUGUAUUGUUUCUCACAAUCAGAGCAGGGGUUUCCAGCAGCAGGCAGGCAGAUGGGUGAUCAGGCCACCUCAGCAGCAGCAGCCGGCACCUAACCGCUUUCCAGCUCCCGCUCCAAGGAACAAUCAGCCUCCGCAGCAGCAGCAGUUCUGCCAGGGCAAUGGGAACAAGUGUUUCACUUGUGGCAAUGUGGGCCACUAUGCCAAGAAUUGUCCUAGGAACCAGCAGAGGCAGAUGCCAGCACCAAAUCAAGACAAGGGAAGAAAGCAGAAGGUACAAGUCAGGCAAGGGAAGCUCAACUUCACUGCUCUGGAGGAAGUACCUGAGGGAGCUCCUAUCAUGACCGGUAUCUUUUCAGUUUAUAAUCAACCUGCUUUAAUUCUGUUUGAUUCUGAUGCAUCUCAUAGUUUCAUUAGCCAAAAGUUCAGUGCUAAAUGUGAACUGCCAUUCUCUCACUCGAAAGGGUCAUUCUUGAUAGUCACACCUGGGGGUAAAAUUUCAACUAAUCAAUUAAACCAAAGUGUGCAUAUUCAACUGGGAAGCCACAUUGUCAAAACCACUCUUCUUGUUUUGGGUUUGGAAAAUGUGGACAUUAUUCUGGGAGCUAAUUGGAUGACCUUGCACCAAGUUGUGCUUGAUGUAGCCAGCCGUACCGUGGAAGUUAAUUCUCCGUUCUGCGGGAACUUCACCUUAAUUCUGCCUAGUCAAGGUUCUACUCAGUCAUGUGCUUUCUCUAUGACAGAGUUACCUCUGAAGAAGAUCCCAGUGGUCUGCGAAUAUGCAGAUGUAUUUCCUGAUGAAUUGCUAGGAAUGCCACCAGACCGGGAUAUUGAAUUUGCCAUCGAGUUGCAACCGGGAACGACCCCAAUUUCCAAGAGGCCCAACCGAAUGCCACCCGCUGAGUUGGCAGAAUUGAAGAAGCAAUUGCAAGAGUUGCUGGAUAAGGGAUUUAUUCGCCCAAGUACUUCGCCUUGGGGAUGUCCAGCACUGUUUGUAAAGAAGAAGGAUGAAAGCUUGAGGCUGUGUAUAGAUUACCGCCCUCUUAAUGCGUUAACUAUCAAGAACAAGUAUCCUUUGCCUCGUAUUGAUGUUCUUUUUGACCAGUUGGUCGGGGCCAAGGUGUUUUCCAAAAUAGACCUUCGCUCUGGCUACCAUCAGAUCAAAAUACGAGCAAGCGAUAUUCUGAAGACGACAUUCUCAACCAGAUAUGGGCUAUAUGAAUUCUUGGUGAUGUCAUUCGGGCUGACAAAUGCACCAGCAUAUUUCAUGUAUCUGAUGAAUUCUGUUUUCAUGCCUGAAUUGGACAAGUUCGUAGUGGUUUUCAUCGAUGAUAUUUUGGUGUACUCAAGGAACGAAGAAGAACAUGUCGGGCAUUUGCAUGUAGUGCUUCAACGUCUGCGAGAGCACCACCUUUAUGCCAAGUUAUCCAAGUGUGAUUUUUGGCUAAAGGAAAUCAAAUUCUUGGGUCACACUAUCUCUCAGGCAGGAAUAGCUGUUGAUCCUGAUAAAGUGCAAGAGGUGAUGAACUGGAAGCCACCAACGACUGUCCGUCAAAUUCGGAGUUUUCUAGGAUUAGCUGGUUAUUACCGAAGAUUUAUUCCGGAUUUCUCUCGAAUUGCGAAGCCUAUAACUGAGUUGCUGAAGAAAGAAGCCAAGUUUGUUUGGAGUCAGAAGUGCGAAGAUGCCUUCCAUGCAUUAAGGCAGCAUCUGACCACAUCACCAGUAUUAGCGCAACCCGACAACAGCAAGUCUUUCGAUGUGUAUUGCGAUGCCUCUGGCACUGGGCUAGGUUGUGUCUUGAUGCAAUACAACCGAGUCAUCGCUUAUGCCUCAAGAGCACUCAGGCCUCAUGAACAAAAUUAUCCCACUCAUGACCUCGAGUUGGCAGCAGUGGUUCAUGCAUUAAAAAUAUGGAGGCACUAUUUAAUGGGAACCCACUGCAACAUCUUCACUGAUCAUAAGAGCCUUAAGUACAUCUUCACUCAGGCUGAUCUCAACAUGAGGCAGACAAGAUGGCUAGAGCUGAUCAAGGAUUAUGACCUGGAGGUACAUUAUCACCCAGGAAAGGCCAAUGUGGUAGCAGAUGCCUUGAGUCGGAAGUUGCAAUGCAAUUGUAUUCCGAUGGAUUCUCACAUUAACACCUUGUGUGAUGAGUUGAGAAAGAUGCAAAUUGAAGUGAUUCCUUCUGGUUCCUUGUCUCACAUUUCUGUUGAGCCAGCUUUGCAAGACCAGAUUAUCAUGGCCCAGCUCAGUGACAAGGGAGUGCAGAUUAUCAAGAAGAAUCUCCAUCAGAAGGUUGAGAAGUAUAAUUGUUUCCGCCAAGAUGAAAAGGGUGUGUUAUGGUUCAAAAGCAGAUUGGUGAUUCCUAAAAACCAGGACCUCAAGAGGAAAAUCUUGGAUGAGGCUCAUCUCUCCAAAUUCUUUAUGCAUCCGGGAAGGACCAAAAUGUACCAUGAUCUGAAGCCUUUGUAUUGGUGGACCAGAAUGAAGAGGGAGAUAGCCCAGUAUGUAUCAGAAUGUGACACUUGUUAGAGGAUAAAGGCAAGCCACUUGAAAUCAGCUGGAGCUUUGCAACCCCUAUCUAUACCUUCAUGGAAAUGGGAUGACAUCAGCAUGGAUUUCAUUGUGGGUCUGCCCAACACCUCUCGUCAUCAUGAUUCGAUUUGGGUUAUUGUGGACCGACUGACGAAAGUGGCACAUUUUCUUCCUGUGCACACCACUGAUAAGGCUCAGAAGUAUGCAGAAUUGUAUAUUGACUGGAUCGUGUGUUUGCACGGAUUACCUCGGACCAUUGUUUCUGACCGAGGAGCCCAAUUUAUUGACAGAUUUUGGGAACAACUGCAGGAGUCUUUGGGAACCAAGCUAAUCAGAAGUUCAGCUUACCACCCACAGACUGAUGGUCAGACGGAAAGGGAAAACCAAAUCCUGGAGGAUAUGCUGAGAGCUUGUGCAAUCGAUUGUGGCAAGAACUGGGCUAAGCACCUCUCCUUGGUAGAGUUUGCUUAUAACAACAGUUAUCAAUCCAGCCUAAGGAUGGCACCUUUCGAAGCUCUCUAUGGAAGAAGAUGCAGGACACCACUCAAUUGGUCUCAACCUGAAGAAAGAGAAGUUUUUGGACUUGACUUAGUGACUGAAGCCGAAAGGAAGGUCAAACUAAUCAGGAAGAAUCUAGAAGCUGCUCAGGCCAGGCAGAAGAGUUACCAUGAUAAAAGAAGAAAACCUCUCCAGUUCAAGGUGGGAAGUUUUGUAUACCUCAAGGUAUCACCCACCAAGGGAGUGCAGAGGUUUGGGAUCAAAGGCAAGCUAGCCCCUCGUUACAUUGGACCUUAUGAGAUCAUAGAAGCAUGUGGACCCAUGGCAUAUAAGCUAAAGUUACCUUCAAAGAUGUCUGCCAUUCACAGUGUGUUCCAUGUAUCUCAGUUGAAGAAGUGUGUUCGAUUACCGACCGAGAUCAUAGCAGAGCCAGAAUUGGAGAUAGAGCCAGAUCUAUCGUACCAAGAUUCUGGAUUGCAAAGAAAGAUCAACUCGGGCUAAAUCGAUCAAGAUGUACAAGGUCCAGUGGAGUAAUCACUCAGAGGAAGAACCUACUUGGGAAACCGAGGAAUUCUUGAGAUCCAACUUCCCCGAUUGCCUACCUAAGGAAGCUGGUACGUAAUCACACCCAACCCCUCCUCCUGCCCUUCGAAUCUAAUUUUCAAGAAUAUGAUCUUAAUUCAGAAUGAAGUAAUCAUGAAAUAAAACUUAAAAAGGGCUUCCUUCUGAAGUUGCAAAGAGAAUGACAUUCAAAGAGCAGUUUUGCCCUAAUAAUAACAAUAAUCACCCACUUCCUUUAAGUCUCACCCUUCGCUUCACCCCGGGAGGACUCUGGCCCGAAUCUCGGGACGAGAUUCCUUUAAGGGGGGAAGGCUGUGACACCCCAGUGUCACCUAGGGUUUCUCUCAAAAUGCUAACCCAAGAACCAUCAUUUUAUGUGAACCAAAUUGAGCAUGAGCAUCAAAUUGACUUAAGAGUGAAGAACCCACCAAGCCUAUACUUAAAAGUAUCAUGAUCAAAACAAAUGGGUCUUUCAAAAAGGGUAAUAAUGUUGCAACCCUAAUAAAAACCCUAAGUGAGCCCUAUGAGCAAAAUUCAAGAAAAUGGGGAAAAGGGUAUGAAAAAUUUAAAAUUAUGGCUUGGGCCAAUUAUAAACAUUGAAGUAUAUUCAUUAAGCAACAAGAAAGAUUGAGGAAGCUUGGCCAAAAUAACUCAAUUAAAACCCCAAAACAAGCUUCUCAUGUGGGGACUCAAUGGGGAAUUCUGAAUUUCAGAAUUCUGAAUUUCAGACCUUGAGCCAAAGAUCAAGUGUGUUCACCUUGAUCCCUAACUCAAAUCCUAAUGGCCCCAUUAACAAAAAUGUGCCUAACUAACCCCUCUGUCGUGUGCCAGAAGAUGGCAUUGGGACGCGAGCCCUAGACACGACAAAACCCUGGAUUUGCCUUGGGUUUGAGCAGGGAGACAGACCGGAUUUCCGGGCUCCAUAUCUCUGCAACCAGUAGGCAAAAUCCUAUGACCCCCACACAAGAUCGGUAGCUUGUAGGGAGGAGAAGAGGUUUUGUGCACUGACCAAGGCGAGAGCAGGCUCGGAUGAGCAACCACACGCGCCAGAACUUGGGCAGAACGAACGGGCACACGUGUUCGACCCUGGUCGGCACGCCGACGCUCGCCCAACCCGCGAAAAUUUUUGUGCCAAGUCAUGUUAUAGCACCUAAAAGCCAGCAAAAGUAAGUUUAAGAGAAUUACCUACUGUUAACUAAUAGUUGUAGUUCAAAGCACCCCUUCUGCCCUAGAACUUGGUAAUUUUGUCCAGAGAAAACUAUUCACUUUCUAAUCCCCAAAUUUUGAGACAGAGAAUUAUACACCAAUAGAAAGCCACUGUAAUUUUUGCAGAAGUUUUGGAAUUUUAUUAAGGCAACUUGUAGUUCAAACCCACUCCAAAAACUUAAGGAGAAUAAAGAAAAAGAAAGAAGAAAUAAACCUCGCUCCAAUGAGUCCAACUUGAAUUCAUGUCAAAACUCACUAUGGCUUUAAAAGAAUUCAGUGGAACCCCAAAAACAAACCUACCACUUACCUUAGCUAAGUUUGACCCAAUUUACCAAAAAUGCCACCCAAAGGUCUUACAUAAGUAAGGUGUAACUCUAUCUAACGCAAGUAGAUCAUGAAGUUGUAAUUUCUAAAGCACAUAUCAUGUCAUGCAUCUAUCUUACGCAUUGCAUUCAUUAGAUUGUAAUCUUGCCGACGGAGAGUACGUGCUCAUCCCUGAGCAAGGAUCUGUCCAAGAGGAGGACCAGGAGCAAGCUUCCGAGGCUGCUGUUGAGGAUCUCCCCGCAGCCCCAGCAAUUGAAGGCAAGCCCCAGUUUAUAUGCAUAACCAUAUUACUAUAUGCUACUUUACUACACUUAAUGCUUGUAGGAUUGUAAUGUGCACUUAAGUGUAGGAGUUGCUUGAAACCUCUAGUUGCAUGAACUUAGGAUUCCUUUUUGAGAUGAAUACUAGUAUGCUAGGUCGAGUAGCUGCUUUGCUAAUCAGGAUCUCGGUAGAAGUCGAGUGAUUUUUCUAGCACUCGCGCGAGGUCAGGAAUUGAUUGUAUUCAUCUUGAUAACGGGAUCUAUGUUAGUCUAUGGACUUGGGUCCAGGGAGGAUGCCUUGUCUAUGAGACGGGAAAAAGGAAUUAAGGAUUAAUGUGUGGAUACCUGAGUCAAGCUUUUGAACGUACUAAGCACAUGCCGGGAAAAAUGGUAACAGGUAAACCUAGUACCUGAGUGAAGCCGGACGCAGACUUUAUCCCUCAUGCGACCUGAGACUGGGUCUCCCAUGCUAGCUAUGGUGGGUACAAGUGCGGUCACUGCACGGCGGCACCCUGUAACGCCCUGAAUUUGGGGGUAGAAUUUUUUCUUCUUUUCUCUCACCAAAUUCGGGCGUUACUCUCUCUUCUCUUUCCCCGUUUGCUCCUUCUUCCCAAUUUCAAACCAGUAUAGCGGCAUGUGUCCGUGUCAUGUAUAAACCAAAACCUAAGUGUCAUGGGUGUUGCAUCAUGCCGAAGCACAUUUCUUUGUCUGAGGUUGAGGGUUCGUCUCGUUCCGUUCCGGAUUUUGAUUCACGUUUUAAGUCCGUUUAGUGGUCCGCGCUCGUCGUGGGUUUUCGAUCCGCGAAGUGGCCCGGCCCAACCUAGUCCAGCCCAGCCCAGCCGGCCCGGCCCGCCCCGGCCUGCGCGCCCCUGGCGCCCAACCCCCCCCAUGCGCCCCCUCUCCUCUCUCUCUCUCAUUUGGAUCUCCCGCGCAAACAACCUCUCCUCUCCCUCUCCCACCUCUCUCUCCCCGUGGUGCCCUAGGGUUUGGAGACGGCGAUCACCGGAUUUUGGACCCCGAGGUGAGUUCCCCUCCCCUCCCCUUCUCUUUCUCUCUCUCCCUCUCCCUCCCCUUCUUCUCCCCACGCGCGCCCUCCCUUUCCCCUGCCCGCGCGCGCCCCUGCCCGUCCCCGCUCGCCGGCGGCGCGCCCGCCCCUCCCCCGGCGCGGCGGCGCCCGACCCCGCCCCUUCCCUCGCGCGCGGCGGCGCCCGCCCCUUCCCCGGCCGCGGCGGCGUCCGCCCGCCCCUGCCCGGCCCCGCGCGGCGCCCGCCCCUCCCCGACCCGCGGCGGCGCCCGCCCCUUCCCCGGCCGCGGCGGCGUCCGCCCGCCCCUGCCCGACCCGCGCGGCGGCGCCCGCCCCUCCCCGACCCGCGGCGGCGAUCCCGCCCGCCCCUGCUCCCCCGGCGCGGCCCCGGCCGGCCCAGCCGCCCCUGGCCGGUUCAACCGCCCCGGCCCCGGCUCGGCCGCCCGUUUCCCCGUCCCGGCCUCGCCCGACCGUAUCUUCGCUCGCCCGCGCUCGCGGUGAUUAUUCGUUAAUUAGCGUGUUGCGUCGCGCGCUUCGCCGCGUGACGGAUUUGUCUAAAUUCAGAUUCUAUCUUGUGUUGCGUCGUGCGCUUCGUCGCGCGACGAUCCAUUUUUGUUUCAGGUUGUUUAAGGUGUAACGCCGCGUGUGUAUUCACGCGACGUUCCACUUUGGACUCAGUUUAGUCGACGUAUGCCGUCGUGCGCUUCGUCGCGCGACGCUUAACGUCUCCUCGUAACUAAGGCGAAGUGUCUCGUUGCGUGCUCGGUCGCACGACGAGUCGUUAACUUCUUAAUUUGUUUUAGAGAGCCUUGUCGCGCGUCUCGCCACGCGACCAUCUUUUUGUUUAUCUCCACCUGCUUAUAAUAAUUAGACAUGAAACAUGACUUUACUUUACGCUAAACAUAGUGUCUACAUUAAAUUUCCUUCCAUUAAGCGAGUGGUUAAUUUAUAAUCAUGUAACGUGAUCGUUUCUCGACUGUCUUUUCCUCUUUCUCUCUUAACCGUACUCGCGAGCCCGCGUAGAACGUCUGUUUACUUAUUGCAUUCUAUUGUAUGGUGUACUGUUCUUUUGUAUUAAAUAUGUGGAUGUAUGUAUGUUUGCGCUCGCAUAGAGAACGAUCCGGUUGAAGAGCCCGAGGAACUCGCGGGAGAAGCCCCUGAGCAGCAGUCGGUUGGUGGAGGCAAGUGUCCUUUGACCUAUCUCUGUCCUAUUCAUUAUUUAAUUCACCUCCCGCAUUACACAUUUAUACCUAAGGAUUGACUAGCUUUUGUUAUCCAUGUCCUUGUUUACCUAUUUGGGUUGGAUUAUUACUGUUUAGCUUUAUGCUAUUGCUCAACUCUAAUCAAUGAACAUGAUGAGAUUAUCUAUGAUACGCUGUUUUCCCUUCUCUUAUGAUGAUGUUGUACUUGUGGUAUUCAAGGGGGCUCGAGCGGUUUCUCGAGUGCCUCUCCGUAAGGACCUGUUCUAUGGAUGACCGCCCGGGAAAACAGUGCAACCAUGAGGGUGGAAUGGGGCGCCCUUAGCUAAAUAAUUAGAGGAUCCGGGGUGUAGUUCGCUUCGCUGUCGUGCCGUCAAUGGGGCUCGGUGUAUGCGGCUCGCUCUGCCAAGGUUGAUUCGUCCCUUGGGGAGGAGUGCGGUACAUUUAGGAAACCUAACGGGCGGCUACAGCCCCGAGGAAUCUUUGUAAAGGCUACGUAGUGAAACCCUGCCUAUUCACCUUGGUAGUGUUUAAGGGUUUGAUCGGCCCGAGGCAAGAGGGAAUCACGGCUUAUGGGUAAAGUGCACAACCUCUGCAGAGUGUUAUGAAAACUGAUAUAUCAGCCGUGCUCACGGUUAUGAGCGGCCAAGGGAGCUCCAGUGAUUAGUGGUACUUGAUCAGAGACACUGUGGUACAGGUGGUUAUGAGAUCGAUGGUUCUGGUUAUGACUAUGGUGCUGGUAAGUGGUAUUCUUUCCGCUUGGAAAGGGUACAUCGGGUUAAUAACUUGGGUUAAUGCUAAAACUUGGCUUUCUACUAGUAAGUAAUAAUCUGACCAACUAAAAGCAACUGCUUGACUUAUCCCCACAUAAAGCUAGUCCACUACAGCCAAACAGGAUACUUGCUGAGUAUGUUGAUGUGUACUCACCCUUGCUCUACACACCAAACCCCCCCCCCAGGUUGUCAGCAUUGCAACCACUGCUCAGGCGAAGAUGAAGCUGUGGAAGGAGACUUCCAGGAGUUUCAAGACUACGACGAGUUCUAGGCGUGGGUUAGCGGCAACCCCCAGUCGGCUGCCUGUGAAGGCCGCGUUUAUCUACGUUUCUUUUCCGCACUUUGAUUUAUUGUAAGAACUAUAUGGACGUCUCAGACGUAUGAUGUAAUCAACUAUUAUUCCCUUUUAAUACUAUUUUGAGCACUGUGUGAUGAUGUCCAUGUUAUGUAACUGCUGUGUACGUGAAUAACUGAUCCUGGCACGUACAUGGUUCGCAUUCGGUUUGCCUUCUAAAACCGGGUGUGACAUAAGUGGUAUCAGAGCCGUGCUGACUGUAGGACCGCUAACCUAGAGUAGAAUGGUCGUUCUAAGGACUAUAGACCUCUGUCUCUGCCUUGACUUUGAUAUCCCUUCAAAAGUUGGUCAUACCGACCAAACCUAUGUUCUACUAUACAUUAUACCUUGCUGAAAAUCAUGUUUUAUUCUAAUCCUUCAUUCACUCAUGAUUCAUUAUUUGCUGGUCCUAUUAAUUCUGUUCUCACCCUUUUGCUUGCGAUGUCUUUUGUAGAUGGCUCGACUUAGACACACUGCACGAAAGUCAGUCAUCCCCUUCUUACCCUCCCGCCUUGCUGAGCGUCCGCUUCGCCGUCCUGUGGCCGGACAGUCCAGCCACUUGGAGAGACUGCACCACCGCCUGCAUGAGGAGCAGGAACGUCGACGACAGGAGCAGCAGGGCUCUUCUUUCUCGCUCCACCAGGAGAUAGAGUCUGUGAGGAGCUGCUCCCCUGUGCUUCCUCUGGAGCCGCCCCCCUGCACCACCACUGGGCGUCCCAGCUUCUGGAGUAGCUGCUGGAGGAGAUCCAGACGACGGAGGAGGCGACGACAGCUCAAGCCAUGACACCGACUUCUCUGCUAACCUUGAGCCGGAAGGAUGGGUUGCUCGACCCAUCACUCGCGACGCUGCUCGCGGGUGUCACUUCCACGAUGCGCUCGACACCCUGCUACGUCGGGCAUUUGACCGACAUACUUGGUCCGUCGAGUAUCGCUGUGUGGUCUACCAGCACAGUCGCGGGGUCUACCCGGACCGCUGGGAGGCAACCUGCUUGGUGCGCUGCCCGGAGAACAGUCUCCAGGGUGCUGAGGUCUGCUCAGAGCACUAUUCUAUUUCUUAGCGGGACUCAGCUGAGGCAGCCAUGCAAGAUGCUGCACGGCGUGCGCUUUCGCACUACUGCUCGGUUUUCGGUGGGGCAGCUGACGGUCUUGACCUGAAGUAUUACCCCCGCCGUUCAUCUGGCAGCACAGGAGGCGUGAUUGUCUCACCUGUCGGUGAGGGCAAUCCUAGGUUGAGCAGCACAGUCAACCUAGCCGCCGUGCUAAACACGGAGCUGGACCAUGCAUUAGACGAGCUGAGUAGGGCUCGUGCUGAGAUCGCCCUGCUGCGGGCUGAGCGCGCGGAACGUCGUCACCUGGAGGAUGGUUCCCCCGCUCCCGUCGGGACUCAGCACCCGUACCGCUCACCUCAGCGUGGACACCAGUCUUAUGGCAAUCCCGACUGCAAGACCAAGAUAACUCUAGAACCAUAGAUCGUUAGAGUUGGAUCUUGUAAUUAAUACGAAAUAUAUACAUAGAAGCUAUAGUCUUAGCGUUAGUCUCGGUCUUAGUUAGUCUUAGUUAGACAGGGUAGUUUGCUAUAUCCUGUGCAUUUAUGUUUGUCAUGAUGAACUAUGUUUGGUUUGGAUCUUUGUAAUGAUUGUCACCAGAGUGUGGGUAUCCCCUGCAUUUUGGUUUACCUAUUAUGUUAAUAAAGUUAGUUAUAUAGUUGGGAAACCUUUUAUUCCACUUUCCUCUUUAUCUGAGAAGCUGUGUGGUCUGUGUUGGAGAUCAGUGAAGAUGCUCAUCUGUUCAGUGCUGUUGAAGAAUCCUCUACUCUUUUCUUAUGCUGCAAGAUUUGCCAGAUCAGUUCUGAUGUGUGGUUGCAUUCUGCAGAUGUCAGAGAACAGGCGCAGAGGAGGAAGGCGUGCUCAGCAGGAGCGAGCCGCUCCGCAGGAGGAGGUGCCCCAGCAGCAGCACCUGCCGCCCCCGCCCCCGAUGUCCAUCGAGCAGAUGUUUCUGAUGCAGACUCAGGCAGUUCAAGCCAUCGGUCAGACCUUGGCCGCCAUUCAGCAGCAGCAGCAGCAACAGCAGCAGGCCCCACCUCAACCUUAGAUGCCUCAGAUGCCCAGAGACAAGCGUGUUGAAUUCAUGAGAGGUCAUCCACCAACGUUCGCUCAUUCUUCUGACCCCAUGGAUGCUGAAGAUUGGCUGCGCACUGUGGAGCGGGAGUUGCAUACCGCUCAGUGCGAUGACAGGGAGAAAGUCUUGUAUGGUCCCCGUCUGUUGAGAGGAGCAGCCCAGUCAUGGUGGGAGUCUUAUCUCGCCACCCAUGCCCACCCUGACGCCAUCACCUGGGAAGAGUUCAGAGGAAGCUUUCGUCAGUACCAUGUUCCUGCAGGUCUGAUGACAGUGAAGAAGGAGGAGUUCCUGGCUCUCAAGCAAGGGCCGUUGUCUGUCAGUGAGUACCGAGACAGAUUUCUGCAAUUGUCUCGCUAUGCUCCUGAAGAUGUCAACACCGACGCCAAGCGACAAUACCGUUUCCUGAGAGGCUUGGUUGACCCUCUGCAGUACCAACUGAUGAAUCACACCUUCCCGACAUUCCAGCACCUGAUUGAUAGAGCAAUCAUGACAGAGAGGAAGCGUAAGGAGAUGGAAGAUCGUAAGCGCAAGAUCAGUGGACCCCAGCCUGGAAGCAGCAGUCGUCCUCGUUUCUCAGGCAAUCAACCUCAGCAGUUCAGGCAGAACCAGCGUCCACCUCAGCAUCAGCAGUUCCAAAGGCAGUAUCCUCAGCACCAGUACCAGAACCGUCAGAGCAAUCAGUCAGGAGGUCAGUUUCAGAAGCAGAAUCAGCAGGCACCUCGUCUUCCUGCCCCAGCAGCCCAGCAGAACAGUCAGGCAGCACCAGCUCAGGUUGGAAACAGAGCAUGUUUCCACUGUGGAGAGCAAGGCCACUAGGUGAUGCAAUGUCCGAAGAAGGCAGCCCAGCAGCAGUCAGGCCCCAAUGCCCUAGCAAAGCAGAAUGUGCCUCAGUCUGGAGCAGGCAAUCGCUCUCAGCCGCGUUAUAAUCAUGGGAGACUGAACCACUUGGAGGCUGAAGCAAUUCAGGAGACCCCCGGCAUGAUAGUAGGUAUGUUCCCAGUCGACUCCCAUAUUGCAGAAGUGUUAUUUGAUACUGGAGCAACGCAUUCUUUCAUUACUGCAUCGUGGGUAGAAGCACAUAAUCUUCCAAUUACUACCAUGUCAAACCCCAUUCAAAUUGACUCAGCCGGUGGUAGAAUUCGAGCCGAUAGCAUUUGUUUGAAUAUAAGUGUGGAAAUAAGGGGGAUAGCGUUUCCCGCCAACCUUAUAGUAAUGGGUACUCAGGGAAUAGAUGUCAUCCUAGGGAUGAAUUGGCUAGAUAAGUAUCAGGCAGUUAUCAGCUGUGAUAAGCGGACAAUCAAGUUGGUGUCCCCACUAGGAGAGGAAGUGGUGACCGAGUUAGUCUCGCCUGAGCCAAAGAAAGGAAGUUGUUAUCAGAUAGCUGUUGAUAGCAAUGAAGCAGACCCAAUUGAGAGGAUCAGGGUUGUGUCCGAGUUCCCAGAUGUGUUUUCGAAGGACUUACCGGGUAUGCCACCAGAGCGGAAAGUUGAGUUUGCCAUAGAGCUUCUUCCUGGAACCGCCCCUAUCUUCAAGAGAGCUUACAGAAUAUCUGGACCAGAGUUGGUUGAGCUUAAGAAGCAAAUUGAUGAGCUGUCAGAGAAAGGUUACAUUCGGCCAAGCACCUCGCCUUGGGCCGCCCCUGUCCUAUUUGUGGAGAAGAAAGAUGGCACCAAGAGGAUGUGCAUUGAUUAUCGAGCUUUGAAUGAAGUCACGAUCAAGAACAAGUAUCCCUUGCCCAGAAUAGAAGAUCUGUUCGACCAGUUGAGAGGAGCCAGUGUGUUCUCCAAGAUUGAUCUGAGGUCAGGUUAUCAUCAGCUCAGGAUCCGACCUUCGGACAUUCCGAAGACGACAUUUAUUACCAAGUAUGGUUUGUAUGAGUUCACAGUGAUGUCUUUUGGCUUGACCAAUGUGCCAGCGUUCUUUAUGAACUUGAUGAACAGUGUAUUCAUGGAUUACCUUGAUAAGUUUGUGGUAGUAUUCAUUGAUGACAUUCUGGUUUAUUCUCAAAGCGAAGAAGAACAUGCAGAUCAUUUGAGGAUGGUAUUGCAGAGAUUGCGAGAGCACCAGUUGUAUGCAAAGUUGAGCAAGUGUGAGUUCUGGAUCAGUGAAGUCCUGUUCUUGGGUCACAUAAUCAACAAAGAAGGUUUGGCUGUGGAUCCGAAGAAAGUGGCAGACAUUUUGAACUGGAAAGCGCCAACAGAUGCUCGAGGAAUCAAGAGUUUCAUUGGAAUGGCCGGAUAUUAUCGGCGAUUCAUUGAAGGGUUUUCGAAGAUUGCAAAACCGAUGACAGCGUUGCUAGGCAACAAAGUUGAGUUCAAGUGGACCCAGAAAUGUCAAGAGGCCUUUGAAGCGCUGAAGGAAAAAUUGACUACAGCGCCUGUCCUAGUCUUGCCUGAUGUGCACAAGCCCUUCUCGGUGUAUUGUGAUGCUUGUUACACGGGUUUGGGAUGUGUGUUGAUGCAAGAGGGAAGAGUUGUGGCUUACUCGUCCCGACAGCUGAAGGUUCAUGAGAAGAACUACCCCAUCCAUGACCUAGAGUUGGCAGCAGUGGUUCACGCACUGAAGUCAUGGAGGCACUAUUUGUAUGGACAGAAAUGCGAUGUUUACACAGAUCACAAGAGUCUAAAGUAUAUAUUCACUCAGUCAGAGUUGAACAUGAGGCAACGAAGAUGGUUAGAGUUGAUCAAAGACUAUGAGUUGGAGAUUCAUUACCAUCCAGGCAAAGCAAACGUAGUGGCAGAUGCUUUGAGCAGAAAGAGUCAAGUCAAUCUGAUGGUCGCUCGUCCGAUGCCUUAUGAGUUGGCCAAAGAGUUCGACAGGUUGAGUCUCGGAUUUCUGAACAAUUCGCGAGGAGUCACAGUCGAGUUGGAACCUACCUUGGAGCGCGAAAUCAAAGAAGCGCAGAAGAAUGAUGAGAAGAUCAAUGAGAUCCGGCGACUGAUUCUAGAUGGCAGAGGCAAAGAUUUUCGAAAGGAUGCAGAAGGCGUGAUAUGGUUCAAAGACCGCUUGUGUGUUCCCAAUGUCCAGUCUAUUCGGGAGUUGAUUCUUAAGGAAGCUCAUGAGACAGCCUAUUCGAUUCACCCUGGCAGUGAGAAGAUGUAUCAGGAUCUGAAGAAGAAAUUCUGGUGGUACGGAAUGAAGAGGGAAAUCGCAGAGCAUGUGGCUAUGUGCGAUAGUUGCCGAAGAAUUAAGGCAGAGCACCAGAGACCUGCUGGAUUGUUGCAACCGUUGCAGAUCCCUCAGUGGAAAUGGGAUGAAAUUGGUAUGGAUUUCAUAGUCGGAUUGCCUCGCACUCGAGCCGGCUACGAUUCCAUUUGGGUAGUAGUGGACCGUUUGACCAAGUCAGCCCACUUCAUACCUGUCAAGACCAACUAUAGCAGUGCCGUAUUGGCAGAAUUGUAUAUGUCUCGUAUCGUUUGUCUUCAUGGUGUGCCAAAGAAGAUAGUGUCAGACAGAGGAACGCAGUUCACCUCUCAUUUCUGGCAGCAGUUGCAUGAAGCCUUGGGCACGCAUCUGAAUUUCAGUUCAGCUUAUCACCCGCAGACGGAUGGUCAGACCGAAAGGACCAAUCAAAUUCUUGAAGACAUGUUGAGAGCCUGUGCGUUGCAAGAUCGGUCCGGAUGGGACAAGAGAUUGCCUUAUGCAGAGUUUUCCUAUAACAACAGUUACCAGGCCAGUUUGAAGAUGUCACCAUUUCAGGCGCUCUAUGGAAGGAGUUGCAGAACUCCGUUGCAAUGGGAUCAGCCUGGAGAGAAGCAAGUGUUUGGGCCAGACAUUUUGCUUGAAGCCGAAGAGAACAUCAAGAUGGUUCGAGAGAAUCUGAAGAUAGCACAAUCGAGGCAGCGAAGCUAUGCAGACAUAAGAAGAAGGGAGCUGAGUUUCGAAGUCGGAGACUUUGUCUAUCUGAAAGUGUCACCGAUCAGAGGAGUCAGAAGAUUCGGAGUGAAAGGCAAGCUAGCACCCCGCUACAUUGGUCCGUAUCAGAUUCUUGCAAGACGUGGAGAAGUGGCCUAUCAGCUCAGUUUGCCAGAGAAUUUGUCUGCUGUGCAUGAUGUCUUUCAUGUGUCUCAGUUGAAGAAGUGCUUGCGUGUGCCAGAAGAGCAGUUGCCAGUGGAAGGUCUUGAAGUCCAGGAGGACUUGACCUACGUUGAGAAGCCAGUGCAAAUCCUUGAGAUUGCAGACAGAGUCACCCGAAGGAAGACCAUCAGAAUGUGCAAAGUCAAAUGGAAUCAUCACUCUGAGGAAGAAGCAACCUGGGAGCGUGAAGAUGAUCUGAUGGCUAAAUACCCUGAGCUCUUUGCUAGCCAACCCUGAAUCUCGAGGGCGAGAUUCUUUUAAGGGGGAUAGGUUUGUAACGCCCUGAAUUUGGGGGUAGAAUUUUUUCUUCUUUUCUCUCACCAAAUUCGGGCGUUACUCUCUCUUCUCUUUCCCCGUUUGCUCCUUCUUCCCAAUUUCAAACCAGUAUAGCGGCAUGUGUCCGUGUCAUGUAUAAACCAAAACCUAAGUGUCAUGGGUGUUGCAUCAUGCCGAAGCACAUUUCUUUGUCUGAGGUUGAGGGUUCGUCUCGUUCCGUUCCGGAUUUUGAUUCGCGUUUUAAGUCCGUUUAGUGGUCCGCGCUCGUCGUGGGUUUUCGAUCCGCGAAGUGGCCCGGCCCAACCUAGUCCAGCCCAGCCCAGCCGGCCCGGCCCGCCCCGGCCUGCGCGCCCCUGGCGCCCAACCCCCCAUGCGCCCCCCUCUCCUCUCUCUCUCUCUCAUUUGGAUCUCCCGCACAAACAACCUCUCCUCUCCCUCUCCCACCUCUCUCUCCCCGUGGUGCCCUAGGGUUUGGAGACGGCGAUCACCGGAUUUUGGACCCCGAGGUGAGUUCCCCUCCCCUCCCCUUCUCUUUCUCUCUCUCCCUCUCCCUCCCCUUCUUCUCCCCACGCGCGCCCUCCCUUUCCCCUGCCCACGCGCGCCCCUGCCCGUCCCCGCUCGCCGGCGGCGCGGCCGGUCCCGCCCGCCCCUGCCCGUCCCGCGGCGGCGCGCCCGCCCCUCCCCCGGCGCGGCGGCGCCCGACCCCGCCCCUCCCCUCGCGCGCGGCGGCGCCCGACCCCGCCCCUCCCCUCGCGCGCGGCGGCGCCCGCCCUCCACCCCGGUCCCGCGGCGGCGCCCGCCCCUUCCCCGGCCGCGGCGGCGUCCGCCCGCCCCUGCCCGGCCCCGCGCGGCGCCCGCCCCUCCCCGACCCACGGCGGCGCCCGCCCCUUCCCCGGCCGCGGCGGCGUCCGCCCGCCCCUGCCCGGCCCGCGCGGCGGCGCCCGCCCCUCCCCGACCCGCGGCGGCGAUCCCGCCCGCCCCUGCUCCCCCGGCGCGGCCCCGGCCGGCCCAGCCGCCCCUGGCCGGUUCAACCGCCCCGGCCCCGGCUCGGCCGCCCGUUUCCCCGUCCCGGCCUCGCCCGACCGUAUCUUCGCUCGCCCGCGCUCGCGGUGAUUAUUCGUUAAUUAGCGUGUUGCGUCGCGCGCUUCACCGCACGACGGAUUUGUCUAAAUUCAGAUUCUAUCUUGUGUUGCGUCGUGCGCUUCGUCGCGCGACGAUCCAUUUUUGUUUCAGGUUGUUUAAGGUGUAACGCCGCGUGUGUAUUCACGCGACGUUCCACUUUGGACUCAGUUUAGUCGACGUAUGCCGUCGUGCGCUUCGUCGCGCGACGCUUAACGUCUCCUCGUAACUAAGGCGAAGUGUCUCGUUGCGUGCUCGGUCGCACGACGAGUCGUUAACUUCUUAAUUUGUUUUAGAGAGCCUUGUCGCGCGUCUCGCCACGCGACCAUCUUUUUGUUUAUCUCCACCUGCUUAUAAUAAUUAGACAUGAAACAUGACUUUACUUUACGCUAAACAUAGUGUCUACAUUAAAUUUCCUUCCAUUAAGCGAGUGGUUAAUUUAUAAUCAUGUAACGUGAUCGUUUCUCGACUGUCUUUUCCUCUUUCUCUCUUAACCGUACUCGCGAGCCCGCGUAGAACGUCUGUUUACUUAUUGCAUUCUAUUGUAUGGUGUACUGUUCUUUUGUAUUAAAUAUGUGGAUGUAUGUAUGUUUGCGCUCGCAUAGAGAACGAUCCGGUUGAAGAGCCCGAGGAACUCGCGGGAGAAGCCCCUGAGCAGCAGUCGGUUGGUGGAGGCAAGUGUCCUUUGACCUAUCUCUGUCCUAUUCAUUAUUUAAUUCACAUCCCGCAUUACACAUUUAUACCUAAGGAUUGACUAGCUUUUGUUAUCCAUGUCCUUGUUUACCUAUUUGGGUUGGAUUAUUACUGUUUAGCUUUAUGCUAUUGCUCAACUCUAAUCAAUGAACAUGAUGAGAUUAUCUAUGAUACGCUGUUUUCCCUUCUCUUAUGAUGAUGUUGUACUUGUGGUAUUCAAGGGGGCUCGAGCGGUUUCUCGAGUGCCUCUCCGUAAGGACCUGUUCUAUGGAUGACCGCCCGGGAAAACAGUGCAACCAUGAGGGUGGAAUGGGGUGCCCUUAGCUGAAUAAUUAGAGGAUCCGGGGUGUAGUUCGCUUCGCCGUCGUGCCGUCAAUGGGGCUCGGUGUAUGCGGCUCGCUCUGCCAAGGUUGAUUCGUCCCUUGGGGAGGAGUGCGGUACAUUUAGGAAACCUAACGGGCGGCUACAGCCCCGAGGAAUCUUUGUAAAGGCUACGUAGUGAAACCCUGCCUAUUCACCUUGGUAGUGUUUAAGGGUUUGAUCGGCCCGAGGCAAGAGGGAAUCACGGCUUAUGGGUAAAGUGCACAACCUCUGCAGAGUGUUAUGAAAACUGAUAUAUCAGUCGUGCUCACGGUUAUGAGCGGCCAAGGGAGCUCCAGUGAUUAGUGGUACUUGAUCAGAGACACUGUGGUACAGGUGGUUAUGAGAUCGAUGGUUCUGGUUAUGACUAUGGUGCUGGUAAGUGGUAUUCUUUCCGUUUGGAAAGGGUACAUCGGGUUAAUAACUUGGGUUAAUGCUAAAACUUGGCUUUCUACUAGUAAGUAAUAAUCUGACCAACUAAAAGCAACUGCUUGACUUAUCCCCACAUAAAGCUAGUCCACUACAGCCAAACAGGAUACUUGCUGAGUAUGUUGAUGUGUACUCACCCUUGCUCUACACACCAACCCCCCCCCCCAGGUUGUCAGCAUUGCAACCACUGCUCAGGCGAAGAUGAAGCUGUGGAAGGAGACUUCCAGGAGUUUCAAGACUACGACGAGUUCUAGGCGUGGGUUAGCGGCAACCCCCAGUCGGCUGCCUGUGAAGGCCGCGUUUAUCUACGUUUCUUUUCCGCACUUUGAUUUAUUGUAAGAACUAUAUGGACGUCUCAGACGUAUGAUGUAAUCAACUAUUAUUCCCUUUUAAUACUAUUUUGAGCACUGUGUGAUGAUGUCCAUGUUAUGUAACUGCUGUGUACGUGAAUAACUGAUCCUGGCACGUACAUGGUUCGCAUUCGGUUUGCCUUCUAAAACCGGGUGUGACACACCCGGGGUCAGUGGAGCAUUGUAUGCCAAGGCGGUGAGGCCUGGACGCGAACGGGGAAUCGAUGGGGACGGUUGUCAUGUGUGGGGUCAGAGUACCCUGACAUGCCGUGUGUUUAGGUUUACCUUGCAAGGUUAAAACUCGAUUCGAAUCGUCCGCUUCUCGCAGCUAAUGAGACUGCUUGACCCCUUGUACUACAUCGAGUAAGAAAUGAAAUGAGGUUACAUGAGAUAAUUUGUUGGUUGAACUAAAUGCUUGUUACCAUGUAUGCUUAGAAGGAGUAAACCUAGCUAAGUUAAUGAUGAUAGAAUUUGAAAAAGCUAAAAUUUGAUUUUAGAAACAGCAAUUGCUUUUGGCAAACCAAACCCCUCAGCCAAACAGCUACAUAGUCUAGAGGUAGAGGAGUAGACUCCUCACACCGGUUAAGUCUAGCUGAGUAUUAGUAUACUCAGCCUUACUUGUGGCAUAAUUUUUGCUGGUACCAUUCAGGAAAUGGUUGAUGGUGUGACUUGGCCUACCACCCUGCCACCGGGUUGGACGGUCGAGUGGGAUGUUGCUCCGGCAGGAGAGGAGCACGAGGAGUAGUGGGCUAGGCCUUGCCCAUUUCCUCGAUACCGACGACAUCGAUUAUCCGCUGCAUUUUAUUUUGUGAACUCUUAUUUGCUACUCAAAAACUCUGAUCUAUGUAAUAAUUCAACACUUAAUUUGAGGUUUCCUGUUUCAUUGUAUUUCUUCUGUGACUCACCUUCGAGUGAGAUUGUGGAACUUGAUCCUGGUUAAGUGGCUCUAUCAGACUAGAUCUGAGGGACCGACGGGUUAUUCCGAUUUAAGUGUGUUACGGCCCCUAAGGCGUGACUUAGGCACUUAAGCUAGAAUAAUUCGGGUGGUUCUGCCACAAUUUCAUGGUCAUCGCACUUGGUGCUCCCGAGGUUGCGCACUUGGUUGACCAAGGUCUUGAGCCGGUUGUACAUUGCUUGUGGCUCCUCUCCUUGGUUGAGGACGAAUCAACCGAGCUCCCCCUCGAUCGUCUCCCGCUUGGUGAUCUUGGUCAUCUCAUCUCAUUCGUGCGUGGUCUUUAGGAAGUCCCAAAUCUCCUUGGCAUUUUUAACCCUUGCACCUUAUUAUACUCCUCUCGACAUAGAGAGGCGAGGAGUAUAGUAGUUGCUUGGGAGUUAAAGUGCCGUAUUUGGGCGACCUCGUCCGAGUCAUAGCCCUCAUCCCCCACCGUAGGUACCUGCGCUCCAAAUUCAACAAUGUCCCAAAUGCUUGCAUGGAGUGAGGUUAGGUGAUGCCUCAUUUUAUCACUCCACAUACAAUAAUCCUCACCAUCAAAAUAUGGUGGUUUGCCUGAUGGAACGGAGAGUAGAGGAGUGUGCUUAGAAAUAUGGGGAUAACGAAGUGGCAUCUUACUAUACUCCUUGCGCUCAUGGUGCUUAGAAGUGACGGACGCCGCGUCGGAGCCGGAUGUAGAGGGCGACGAAGAGUCGGUCUCGUAGUAGACCACUUUCUUCAUCUUCUUCUUCUUGUCGCCACUCCGAUGCGACUUGACACGGGGAGGGGAUCCCUCCUUGGCUUUGGUGCUGGACUCCCUUGAUGGAGCCUUCCCGUGGCUUGUGGCUUUGUCGCCGGUUUCCAUCUCCCUCUUGGCGGAUCCUCCCGACAUCACUUCGAGUUGUUAGACUCUAAAGAAGCAUCGGGCUCUGAUACCAAUUGAAAGUCGCCUAGAGGGGGGUGAAUAGGCAGAAUCUGAAAAUUAUAAACUUAAGCACAAACUACAAGCCGGGGUUAGCGUUAGAAAUGAAUUCGAGUUCGAAAGAGAGGGGGAAAUCAAAUCAAGAGCGAAUCAAAUGGAUGAACACGGUGAUUUGUUUUACCGAGGUUCGGUUUUAAAGAACCUAGUCCCCAUUGAGGUGGUCACAAAGACUGGGUCUCUUUCAACCCUUUCCCUCUCUCAAAUGGUCACUUAGACCGAGUGAGCCUUUCCCUUAAUCUCCUGGGUCACUUAGACCCCGCAAGGACCACCACACACUUAGGUGUCUCUUGCUUUGAUUACAAAUCACUUGAGAAAAGAAAUGAGAAAGGAAGAAGGCAAUCCAAGAGGCAAGAGCUCAAAAGAACACAAAAUCUCUCUCACAAGUCACUACGUGUUUGAGUUGAAUUUGGGACUUGGAGAGGCUUUGAUCUUUUGAAUUGUGUCUAGGAGUGAAUGCUAGAGCCCUUGUAUUGAAUGUGAUGCUCAGAAAUCUUGGAUACUUGUGGUGGUGGUGGUUGGGGGGUAUUUAUAGGCCUCAACCACCAAACAACCGUUGGGGCAGGCUGCUGUCGAUGGGCGCACCGGACAGUCUGGUGCGCCACCGGACACUGUCUGGUGCGCCAGCCACGUCACCCAACCGUUAGGGUUCUGGAGCUCUUGACCGUUGGAGGCUUUGUCCUCUAGUGGCACUGGACAGUCCGAUGCCGCACCAGACAGGCACUAUUCAGUGUCUGGUGCGCCUCUGACUGCGGCGCACUGUAGCGGAUUGUAGCGUUGUAGUGAGCCGUUGCAGUCGACCGUUGCGUUGGAUAGCCGUUACUCCGCUGGUGCACCGGACAGUCCGGUGGCACACCGGACAGUCCGGUGAUUUUUAGCGGAGCGCGCCUAGAGAAACCCGAGAGUGACCAGUUCGAUAUUGUAUGGUCCUGGUGCACCGGACAGUCCGGUGCGCUAGACUAGGGUACACUCGGUUUCUUUGCUCCUUUGUAUUUGAACCCUAACUUCAAUCUUUUAUUGGUUUGUGUUGAACCUUUAUGCACCUGUAGAACAUAUAUUCUAGAGCAAACUAGUUAGUCCAUUAUUUGUGUUGGGCAUUAGACCACCAAAAUUAAUACUGGGAAAAGGUUAACCCUAUUUCCCUUUCAACCAUCACAUGGUAUAGGUGCAAAAGUAGGUAUUGACUUUCUUAUAUUAAGUCUUUGUGCCUCGAUCUCCCUCCAAUGCUCGUGUUGCAUAUACUCAAUAUGUAGGGGGGUAAUGUUAGUUUGUUGCUUUUUCCCUACUUCAUACCCUGUUGUCCGUUGACAUCAUCCUACAUUUUUGUUUGAAUUAUGGUUUUGGUGUUUGAUAUCAAAGGGAGAGAAUUUAUGCAUUAAACCUUACCUCGACCUGAGAGGGAAGCGUAUCUUAAGGGUGAAGGUGUUUUGUGUGCUAAAGGGCCCAAAGCUCAACCUUGUGAUUAGGAUGAGCUCACCUUGGUUAAGGUGGAGUUUUGUUGAGUUCCUUUUGUUCUUAAGGAGGAGAAUGCUUUAGUUUUGUUGAUAAUGAUUAUCAUGUGCUUCUUUGUUGUAUUAUAUGGUGAUAAUGCUUAUAUGGUGCUUCUGUUGCUAAUCGAUGCUUUAGUUUUGGUAUCAUCUUGUUUGAUGUGUAGAUCAAUUGAUAUCUAUGGUGCUUUUUGUGUAUCUUAUGUGUUGAUUAUAAUCAUGGUGCUUUAAUUGAUAUAUUUAUGGUGAACAGUGGUAGGUUGAUAUCUUGUGUUAUAUCUUCUUAAUUGGUGUUUAUAUUGUGCUUUACGCUGCUUUGUACAUUUGUGUGUCAUGUGCAUCACGGUUUGAUUCAUGACACAAAUGCACCCCACGAAUGCUAAUAUAUAGUAAUUCUUUGCACUUAGACUAAGUAUGUGUAAUUUGGCAUUUCAGGCCAAAGUUGAGAUUUUCAGGUAAGCACAUAUUUAUGGGGAGCAUUCUAUAGCUUAGAAUUCAAAAUUGUACUUUAAAUCUUAAUCUUGUGUAAGCUUUAAUUGUGUUGCCAUCAAUCACCAAAAAGGGGGAGAUUGAAAGCUCUCCUGUGGGUUUUGGUGGUUUGGAUGACAACCCAAUUAAAGGACUGACAUCUGUGUUAAGUGUUGGACAGGUGGUUAACCUUGUAAAGUUCAACACAAGUGUUCAAGAGUGAUGGUCCAAAGGCUAAGUUGAUUAUGGUUUUGGACAUCAUGAGUGAAGAAGAAUAUGUCUUAAGUGAGUCUCGGUGUUCAUAUCUUGGAGACAGCUGAUCAAACCAAGGAUGGAAGUAAGAAGAGCUUCGAGGUAUCAAGUGCACGAGAGAAGGUCAAGGAGGCCGAGGAACCCAAAGCCAGGGGUAAAGAAGAAGACUUACAAAGUCAAGGUUGAUCGAGUUGAGAAGAUCUAUGGUGCAUAGAAUAUGUUGCAAAACAGUGAAGAAGGUAAAGUAUACAGGUUUGAGUGUUCAAAUAUGUUGCAUACACCUUCUACUACGCAUAUGGAACUUUGGUUUUGCUCUCUAACCAUGUUUAUAGAGAAAGUGUCAUCUAGAGCUCUGUUUGAGGUGAAACAGAAAAGCUAGGAGAAGUUUUGAAAAGAGGUAAUCUUUUGGGACUUAGUUAAUUGAUUUAUACUCUAAUUGUGUUUUUCUAAGUCACAAGAAGGCCCUCCCAAGAGUUGAAAUCAAAUGGAGAAGAAAAGGAGAAAAGCACAUAAGAGUCUUGCUGUCUGGGUAGCACCGAACAAUCAGGUGCACCUCACCGGAUAGUCUGGUGCCCUGGGCGGCCAACUGUUUAACCUCGGGUGUCUCGGCUAAAAAUGUCGGAUAGUCCGGUGGUCUUCAGGCAAUGAAUACUUGGCCACAUCAGCAAGCACCAACAGGCAAAUUAGAGCACCGGACAGUCCGGUGCCCCACAGAAGAGGAAGGUGGCCAAUUAAGGAUUCAGUGACUGUUGGGCAAAGGCACACCGGACAGUCCGGUGCCCCCGCAACCAGGGCAACUUUUCAACAGUUUCUAUUUGGAAGGUGCAACAACUAGGUGCUAUCUUGGGGCUAUAAAAGGGACCCCUAGGCGCCCAUUUGGAGGACACAAGUGCAACAAACAAGUCCAUACAUCAAGUGAUCAUAUUCUUUCUCUCCCUCUCUUGUGAAUCUCUCUAGUUUGUGUAGAGGCGCAGUUAUAAGCCUUUAGAGAGAGAGGAAGUGCUGCUGAUAGCAAGAGCAUGAUCUUGAGAAAGUUGUUACUCUGCCAAAGUGUUGUCGAGAAGAUUGUAAGCACUCGCGGCGUCAUUGUAACCACCAAGUGACAUAGUGGAAGGCUCUAUAUGUCGCAUUGACAGACCUGAGCAAACGGAGGAAGGAGUUGAAAUAGACUCCAAGCCAAGGUGUGGCUAACUCCAACAUGUACUAGGCAAGCAUUUCAGGCUUGGCCAAACCUUAGGAUAAAUCCCCGUGUCUAUGUGCUCUACUCUGUGUUGUGUGUUGUCUCUUUGUCUUUAUUGCUUUUAUACUUGCACUUCAAUCUUAUCUGUGGUAUAAGUUGUCUGUGAAGUGUAGAGUAUUUUGAGACAGGAACUUCAAUUCCGCUGCGACCUACUCGAAGUGUCUUUCAUUCCACUAUGAUCUAGUCUUCGAGUAGAGUAAGAAUCUGUAGUUUUAAAGUGAUAGUUUUUAUUCGCCUAUUCACCCCCCUCUAGGCGACAUCCAAAUCCUAUUCCCGGACAAAGGGAACUUUCAUAAUCCUCAGAGAAAAAUGGUUGUGAAAUUUUUGUUCUAGGUCUCCCUAGGAGUAAAUAAAGUUAGGUGGUAAGGUGGCGUACCAUGCGAAGGCAAUGCCGAUUAGGGAUAACGAAAAUAGACGUACGCAGAAUGCCUCCUUAUCAGCCAAUUUCCCUAAUUGGACUAAAAAUUGGUCUAUGUGCUCAUGCGUGCUUCUCCCUUGGUCACCCAAAAUUUUUGUAAAUUCGGGUAUUCUCGUCCCCUGUGGGUAUGGGUCGUAGUCGAAUCGGUUGUCAUAUGGUCUCCGAUAGGAUUGCCCCACAUGGGACACGUUAACUCCAAGUUUGUCUUGGAAUGUCCCCGCUAUCUCCUCCCUAACUAUAUCAAUGGCGGCCGGUGGAAAUCCACCGACCCUUUGGUCCAUAUGUGUGUGUGCUGGUGUAUCAUUAUGUUGCUCCCUUGCCCAUGGGUUUGGUUUAUGUGGGGUAUUAAUGUUGGCUCUAGGUACUCCAUACUAUACGUUAGGUCUCUCCGGCCUUCUAGGGCCCGAAAAGGGCUUGUACCUAUGUGUUGGUGGGAUCAUUCCACGUCCUUGAAGGGUCGUGGGUGCUAGAGAGACGUUAGUUUGGGGCUGGUAGUAGGAUUGCUGGUAAUAUUUUAUAUUUUACUCCUCAUACCCUAUCGCGAACGGUCCAGUGUAAUACCUGGAUGGUUUGGUGAUGUGCUCGGACGGUCCGCGUGUAUAGCCAGACGGUCCAAGCAUCUCUAUUGUCCCUAGCGUGGACUUCAGUUUACCAUCACGGGGGACAGAGCCAGCCGUCGCUGGGCUGGACGGUCUAGCCUCAGGCCUGGACUGUUCGACUAUGCGCAGGGGCACGAGUUCGACCGUGCGCAGGGGCACAGGUUAUUCCCAUAUAGGCGGUGGAGGAUGUGGCUAGUCAUUAUAGGAGUUCAGCAACAUCCCAUAAAGGGACUGGGAUUAGGCAUGCCUUUGCUGUCGAUGAAUCUUGUGGGUGUUCUUUGGUUUCGACCUCGUGCGAUGGAAAUUAGUAAUGGCUAAUUUAUCAAACGCAUGCGCUAGCCUCCUAUAAUCUUCUUGCAUACCACCUAAGAUUUGUUGCAUCUAUUCAUGUGGUUCUUCUAUGUAAGAUCAAAGAGCUUGCAUGUCGUCGAGCACAGCGGGUCGAAGAUUUGUCAGGUUGUAUUCCCUCCGUCGGACGAGAUUCUGGUUUCGAUCGACCUUGAAAUCAACCAAAAGUAGCUCGUCAACUUCUGCCUGCAUCUUUUUCUUGGCGUCUUCCAGCCUCUGAUAUUCUUCAACUGGCAGCCAAUCCGUAGUCGGUUUGAUGAUAUUUCUUGGGGAGAGAUUGGAGUUAUCCCUUGGAUCGACCAUAUGGGGCCGAUCUUAUAGAUCCAACCUUAGUCUCCCCAGUGAAGUUGCCAAAAAGUGUGUUGGCGUGAAUCUAGGUGCCAAUCACUAGGAGUUGUUCCGCUUGUCGGGCUCUCUGCGACGACGCGGACGGUCUGUGGCCUAGGGCCGGAGGAUCCGCGACCUGGCAGCAGGAGUGGAUUCCUCUACAUCGAGUCGAACGAUCCGCGCCCGGUGGUCGGAUGGUCAGUGGGUGUGCAGGGGCGACGACGUUCGCCUAGGGUUUGUCUUAGAAUCGACAGGCCACCUAAGACGCCUCUAGGCGAUGUAGAGUCGGAGAGAGUUGAAGAUUGAGGUAAAGAAAGCUACGUUAUUGGCUACUCCUAAGACAAAAAGUAAAGAAACAGAAGAUAUAUAUUGAUUUGGUUCGAUUGUUGGUGCGUGCAAUCGGUCGUAUCCUUCAUAGGGCGGCGACUCCGCCACCACCACCACACCCGCUGCUUCCUCCUUCCUCCAGCCUCGCCGCCGCCAAAGUAGACCGCCGGAAGACCGUGCAGAUGCGAGGAUGGCGGCGGCGGGGCCAUGGCCGCGGGACCUCGCCCCCGUGUCCCCUACUUGGCUUGGCCGCCGCGCUUGGAGCCAGAUCCGCGACGGAGAUGUGUGGAUCCGGUGGGCUCGAGGUCAUACCUGGCCAUCCCUCGGCUCAUGGUUGCGGGGUUGGGCGCUCCGGUGGCACACGUGCUCCGUGGGCUGUGGGCCACGCCAGAGUGGGAGACUGGGAGCUGCCUCUAUUCGGGGGGGGGGGCGUGGUGCGGCAUGGAGAAGGCCGCUGCCGGUGGCCCAGGUUGGGGCGGUUGGUGGCCGCAACAGGUUGGCCUUGGGGCGGCAGUCAGAUCCGGAGGUCCAGUGGCUGGAUUUGCCGUCCCUGAGGCCGAUGUCGGUUGUGGAGCGUCGGCGGGCGAGCUCCCCAUGGUGGUGCGGCGGUGAGGAGCGUAGGUGAGGCGAGCUGUGGCCUCCUCGUGCGUACGACGAGGCCUAGUUUGGGGCUGCGGGCGUCGGAUCUGGCUCCCCGGUGGUGGUGUGUGGCAACAACAAGUGGACAGCAGUGGCCCCAGCGGCGGCUGCGGUGUUGUGCGUUAGGGCGGCGGCGGAGGUAGCUUGCUUUUGUCCCGGGGCCCUCGCUUGGCAUUGUGCUGGGGUUUUCUUGGGCGAAAGCCUUGGCGACGGCGACGCCCCUGGGCGCCGCUUCCCCUGUUGAAGGCGUCGUGCUUCCCAGCACUGUCUUCCAUGGGCGAAAGCCCCGUCCAUUUUAGACCGGCGACGGUGGCGUUCCAGGCGUCACUCCCUUCCUGAAGGCGUCACUACUGAUGGCGGGGGCAGGGCAUAGGAUCAAGGUUUUAGAAGUCUCGCUGGUGAAGAAUCGGAGCUGUCUCGAGUGGGGUGUCUCGUGGUUUGGCAACGACGGCGCGCCACAUUCUUCCUGCUCGUCACUUGUGUUGAGCUCGGCAACGGAGACUCAGGAAUCAGAAUGUGCAUUGUGUGUAGGGUUGCUGUUGUCUGUACGCCCUGUGUAGGUUUUGGACCCAGUUUUACUUAAAACUAGAUCAAUUCCUUUCUUCUUAAUUGAGAUUACGUUCAAAAAAAAAUAUACCGGAACCAAUGUUCAUAUUCUGCUUCAUUCUGGAACCAAUGCAACAACCAAACACAAAAUGGAGCCGAAUGGAACGGCGCUCCGCCCAAUCGGACUCUGAAACCAAACCCUACCUAACAAACCUGGCAGCGAUGCUAUUUUUUCUUCAAAACCGAUUGCCGAUUUGAAGACAAACAGCGGUGAUGUAGCUAGCAGUAUAUCAACCACAUUAAACCAAAAAAUCGUCAAGCUGACAAGGCUCAAGCAACAUAUCAACCACAUGAAACCAAAAAAUGUUCAUCGAAGCUUGCGCCAGAUCAAUACAUGAGCGAACUGUAUGGGUACCUAAAAUUCAAGGUGGUUAAAUUCUCUUCAAAGCAGCUUGCGCACAUGUACAUCGCGUAGACCAAUCGCAGGACACCACAGCCAUUUGCAUGGUGUUCUUUAGAUGUUUGCCGAAGCUUCAUGCGCUUCAGCAAAAAAAAGGCCUCCAUAUUUACAUGGUGUUUUCUUAGACGUUUACCUAACAAGUUGAACUUGGCACACAUGUGGAUGUACAUAAUAACGGCCUGGGCCUGCUAUAUCGCGUUCUUUUUCUUUGACCGCAACAUGGAAUGUUGGCCUCUGUAUUGAGCUGGAAGAAAACAAACAACAAGACGAAAGGGAUCAGUCUACUCGAAGGAUUAGUCAAAGUAAAACAGAAAAAAGGAAAAUAGUCUUUAGCAUUGCAGCUGUGCGAGCCCGCAGGAGCUCACCAGCAUCCUUGUAGCGUUCUUCUACUGCGACGAUGAGCAUGUUCCGGACCAGAUCGAACUCUUGGGCCUCACUGCAAUGCUGGUCGUCAGGCCUGCAACAUCGGAACGGUUGCAGCUGUAGAGUUCAAGAGAGAAGACUCUUGUCCCUGCAGAAAUACUACAUGGAACGGGGAUUUGUAUGUCGACCUGUCAAGCCAUGUGAUCUGAAUGUCGUCGGAGCCUACAUGAUACACAUACAUGUAAAGCACCAAAUUGGAACAAGUACCGUAUCCAAUUAUGAACAAUAGAACAGCUUAUACAAUACGUCCGCAUACAUUAUAUAUAAUCCAUUGUUCAGAAAAUAAAUGUGGGUUCAUUCAGAAACGAAUGUGUGCGCACAUGCCAGAGAGAAACAGAAAUGUCUCACCUGGCCAUCCUUGUCUUCCUUAGAAUAUGAUGCACUGAUCUGAAGCAGUUUGGGGUUGCCGCUUAUAUAUAAUUCCUCGAGAGCAGUAAGGCAUUGUAUGGAGCGGGGCAAAGAUGUAAGGCCACGGCAGCUCUGGAUCAAGAGUUUUUUAAGCGCAGAGAGUUCGCCUAGCCACUCCGGAAGAUGGGUCAGCGCGUUACAUUCACACAAGUUGAGAAUUCGAAGCGAGGUGAGGUGCUGCAUGCUCUCGGGAAGGCAAGUCAGGAAAGGCAUAGAAAUUAUUUGGAGGUGCUGGAGUGAGCAGAGUUCUCCUAUUUGUUCAGGAAGCUGCUGGAGAGCAUCACAUGAGUCUAUGUCCAGACUCUGUAGAGAUUUCAGUUCCACAAGCCAGUCAGGCAGCACACGAAGAUUAU
rnacentral:lncRNA from 1 species